rnacentral:lncRNA from 1 species
AGAUAAUAGGUUAUUAUGGACACUCAAGUACUUCAAAUUGCUUUUUCCUAUCAUUUUUUGGCAUAAGAGAGGAGAAAGAGAUCCAGUCAAAUUGUUAUAGGCUAUCUCAAAAACACUCACAUUUGAAGUUAGUCGAGGAAGGCCACCACUCAAACCGUUUCCAAUCAGCCAUACAAUUUCAGAGUUCAGCAACACAUUUGACAUGUUCCAAGGCAUGUCAUUAUUCUCUAAAAAAAGAAAUACACAAUGUGAUGCCAAACUCCAAAACAUGUCUUGUGAUACAUUUUUAAACAAGGAGUUGUAUAUUUCAAUUUUGGUGAGAGAUGUUUGUGUGUACAACCAUGGAAGAAGUUUAAGAUCGGCAUAGCUUAAGCGUAGAUUUUGAAGUUUAAAAGGGGGAAUCCAAUGGGGAUCAAAAUCGAAGAUAAAGGAAUGUGAACCAAACGACAAUCUUUGUAAAUUUGAGAGCUUAGCAAAAUUUCUAUCAGAUAGAACUCCAGAUAGAGGAUUUUCAUCAACAACUAACUUCUCCAAAUUUGAUAGUUUCCCCAAACAUUCAGGAAGGCUUCCAUUCAAGCUAUUUGUGGAAACAUCAAGGUAUAUUAAGGAUGACAGAUUCCCCAAAGUAGCGGGAAUAAAACUAGUAAAUAAAUUAGAAGAGAGAACAAGCUUUUUUAGACCUCCAAGUUGGCCGAACCAAUCAGGAAUUGCUCCACUUAGCUUGUUUUCUUUCAAAGACAACACAUCCAAGUUUCUAAGAUUCAUUAAAGCUUUUGGUAUUUGGCCAUAGAAACUAUUUUCCUUAAGAUUUAAAUAAGAAAGGCCACUUAAAUUGAACAACCAUAUAGGCAAUUCAGAAAAGAAAUCGUUUCCAGAAAGAUCAAGAUAUUCAAGUGAAGUGAAAUUGGCAUAUGGAAGAGACGGGCUCAAACUUUCAAGUGAGCAACUACUCAAAUAUAACUCAGAAAGUGAAGGAAGCAUAUUCAAUAUCUGAAGCCAAUGUGUUUCCUUGUGGAUAUUAACAUAAUCCAGGUUGAUAAAUUGUAAGGAUGAUGAGAGACGAAGAAGCCAUCUCAAAUCAUUAAUCACAAGAUUCUCAUUUUGAGACAAGUCAAGAUGAAAAACAUUGGAAAAGUUUCCACUCCCAUGAGAAGUGUUAACUGAUGACAUGGUUUGACAAUCCAACGACAAUUGUAUAGUGUUGAAGUCAUUGUUGCUCAAAUCCAAGUAGUUUAAAAAUUCAAGCUCGAAUAUAGAAAGGUGAAAUUUACCUGUUAGGCAAUGUGUUUUGUUCUUUUUGUGCCCAAUGGUGAUGUCAUCAUCAGUGGAACAAGGGAGACUGAUAUUUGUGACUCUGCCAUUUAUGUUACAAUGAACUCCUCUCCAUUUACAACAAUCCUCUUUGUUGGACCAUGUUGCCAACAUGCCUAAUGGAUCAAUGAUUCCAUGUUUAAAACAGAGAAGUAUUUGUUUGUCUUUUUGGUUGCAAGAAGUAUUUGUCUCACAUAUUACUAUAUUUAUAUUUAAUAUGAUUACAAAUGAAAACAAUAGAGAGAGGGGUGCAUUUUGAGAGGAGAUAAAUCUCACCAUGUUAUAUCACUAGAUAUGAAGGUUUAUGAUAUUGUAAUUAGUCUACCUUAGAUGCAUCAUAUAUAAGUGGCACAUAUGGAGUGUCAGUUGGCUUAACAACCUUGGCUUCUUUUUUGGGGGACCCUUAUAUUAUUAUCAUUUGAAAAUUGUUGAUAAUAUAUUUUAAUCAUUUUUUUAAAAAAAAAGGUAAAAAUAUAUUGUGUAAUAAGGGACCAAAACGAAACCAAAAAAUAAGUUAAGGGACCAAAAUGAAACCAAAAAAUAAGUUAAGGGACCAAAACAAAACUUUUAAUAGUUAAGGGACCAAAAUGAAACCAAAAAGUAAGUUAAGGGACCAAAACGAAACUGUUAAUAGUUAAUGGAUCAAAACGAAACCAAAAAAUAAGUUAGGGGACCAAAAGAGUAAUUAAGCCGAUUUUUAUUGCUUUUUUCAACUUAUCAUUGUGUAAUAAUUUUUGUAAAUAAUUCUUCUGUAAUUUUUUUAUGAAAAUAUUAUCUAAUAAAAAGAGCAGGUCAUUUUGGGUGGUUCACAAAUUUAUGCAUUAUUUAUAGGUCGCACAACCAUAUGGAGUAUUAAUUGAUUUUUUUUUAAACUAAGUAUCAUCCACGCAACUUGUAAAGACUAAUCCCUCAAGUCUUGCGGGAUCUAAAUGGGCGACAAAUUCUUCUUAAGAAUUUUUAACGCUGCUGUAUGUAUCAAUUGAUUUAAAGUUUUUGACUUUUCUUUGAGGAAAUACAUACAUAGUUAUUUGAAUUAUGUUGUUAAAUUAAAAUAGAGGUUUAAGCCGAAAAAAUAAUAUAUGGCAAAGUCAUUAAGACUAGUGAUUGUUUGUCCAUGAUUGACUGACUUAGUUCGAGUCUUGAUUGGCCAUUCAAAAUCCUUACCAAAAUUAUCGAAGCAGACAAUGCAACCGAUAAGAGAUGUGUGGUGGUUGUUUUCUGUAGCUUGAAUUGGUGCCAAGGCAUUGUUCAUGGCCAUCCACAUUUACACGAAUAAUAGUCACCUGAUAUUAUUUUCUGUAGCUUGAUUACAGAAAAUUAACCAUAUUUAUAAAAAAAUAGAAGAGUAUGAGAACGGUUAAUGAAUCAAUUGUUUGGCCAAAUAAGAAAUGAGCAUCCAUCUAUAUCAUAACACUCUUCAUUGGAGGUCCAUCGAGAAUAUACCUCAUAAAAACCUUACUAUAAAAAGCUCUAGAAAAAAUUCUAGUGAAGAAAAGAGUACAACAUCCUUUUGAGCAUGAAUUGCCUCGCGAAAAACCACCAGCAAAACUCGAUAGGAUAAAACAAUUGUGAGUGGAAAAAGAGUGCAGAACAUUUUACUUUCUCCCCAUCAUGAAGACAAUUAUCUCUAAGAUGACGAAGACUAAUCCUUAAUACAAGUUUCUCAAGAGUGAUAGAAAGGUUUGGUCUAUAUCCUUUAUUAUACUCUUCUCCAAAAUAAUAUAGUGUUUGAUAUAUUAUUUUCACAAGGAAUGCUAUGGACACUCCUUUUUCAACACUUUCUCUAACACACUCUCUCCCAUUGAUAUUAAUGUUUGUCUCAUCACAUUAGCAAAAUACAUUACUGUUCGCAUUUGAACUAAGAUUUGAAUAGUACUUCAGAAUCAAUUUAAGUUGUUCAUCAUUUUCACGACGACAUAAUAUAUAUUUACCCACAUGAAGUGACAUCACAAUCAUUUUAGUACAUAACCAACUGGAUUUGUCCACAUCAAAUUAUUUUAACACAUUUUCAAUAUAAGUUUUUUUUUUAAAGCCAAAAUAAAUUAUAUUACAACCAAAAGCAUUUUGUGUCACAUAUUACUAUACUACAUAUCACUAGAAAUGCAGGUUCAAAAUAGUCCUUGAAUUUUGAAAAAUUGGUCAAUUUUGUCCCUGAAUUAUUUGAAAUAUCAAAUUAGUCCCUGAAUUUUACAGACGUCCAUCAAAUCAGUCCCUCCGUCCAAAAUAUCCGUUAACAGUGAUGAUGUGUCAGCCACGUAUACAAGGACUAAACUGAUGGAAAUGGUCAAAAUUCAAAACUUAACAUUUUAGUCUCAUUUUUCUUGUGUUUCCAAUUAUACCACUCUAUUACGAUUCACUUUCAUCCUCACAUUUUCACUCAGAAGCAUCAAACAAGUCCCUAACCUUUCACCUUCCCGCCAAAACCGUCACCCUCUUCACUUCACCAAAAUCAUCAUCAUCACCGGCGAUCAUCCUUGGAAAAGAUUCGGUUUUGAAGUCAGAUUUCGUGGUUUGUCAAGGUAUAGACAUUCAACUUUGUUUUCCAUUCACUCUUGUUCGUUUGUCCCUGUUUUGUGUCCGUUUUUUUGUGAAAUUUUGGUUUUAGUUUUAGGCAUUAUUUUUCAACUUUUAACUUCAUAUCAUGUUUGGUUGCUGUUUGUUUGUGAUUGUUGUGUGUUUGAUUGCGUUUUUUAGAUUAGUAAUUUUAGGAUUUUUUGUUAGAAACUUAAUAAUUGCAUGUCUUUAUGUUUAGUUACUAAAAAUGAAAAACAUUAUAUUUGUAUUGAACGAAAUCACGUCCUGAUUUAAACAAUUUAUAAAAAGGGUUUGUUGAGGUUCGUAUUGAAGUCUGAUUUGCAUUUUUAUGUUAUUUUGCUUUUGAUUUUGACGAUGUUGGCAAAAUUCGCAGGAUGGAAGAUGUUGGCAUGAAGAAAACCUAUAAUGACACUCAAUGUGGAAGAUGUGGAUUGAUGGGACAUAGCUCAAGAAGUUGUGCAAAGUAAGGUGUGGCUAGGAGACCUAAGAAUUGGAUUGACACUGAGCCUGAAGAACAAGUACAAAGUAAUGUGGCAAGUGUGGAAACGGUUGUUGAGAAUGUUGCUACUGAGGUGCAACAAGAGGAUGUUGUUAGAGUUUCAAAUCCAAUUUACGGGCCAUCCGCUUCUACUCAACCGCAGUACAUGGAGUUUAUCCCAACUCCAGAAUUUCGAAAACAGUGAUGCAUGUUUUAAUUAUGCUUUUGGACUAGUUUAAUUAAUUAAUGCUUUUUUUGGCUAUGUACUGUUGUUUUUUUGGCUAUGUACUGUUGUUUUUCUGGCUAUGUAAUGACUUAUUAACAUCGAAUAUUGACUUAUGAUAUAAUGCAAAUGUUUGUCUUUUUAUAAUCAAAGUGUUUGUCUUUUACUUUUACUUUGUUCAGCAAAUAUAUGUACAAAUGAUCAAAUUGAUUUCUGUUAUGAUAAUUCAAGGACCAAUUUGAUGGUUUUUUUACUAAUUUAAGGAUCGAAAUGAUGGAUAUGAAUAUAAUUCAAGGACCAAUGUGAUUGAAUUUUUUUGACAGAAAGGUUUGAUUCAUUCAUUGACAACCUCUUUUCAUUACAACAUUACAUGGACUUGGCACAAUACAAUAACAUUUUAAACAACUCAAUCAAACAAAAUACUCCUAUCAAUAACUUAAUCAACCUAAGCUCACUUCCUACACAAUCAACUUUAUCCAUCAACCUUGCCCUCCAAACCUCUUCUCUGCCCCUAUCAUUUGGCUUCUCGAUCAACCUUGCAUUUCUUCCAUGACCAGCAUCAUUGUUUUUAAAAUAGCCUAAUUCUUCAGCUUCAUCAACCCACGCAAAAAAAUUACAAUUUUCACAAUCAUCCUAUACAAUCAAAAGACAAAAUCAGUAUAAUUUAAACAAAACAUUCAUACAUCAAAUAACCAUUGUUAAACAAACCUUAUGCAGAGGGCAAACAUAGAAAAGCCUUCCUGGGUUAUUGACAGUGUUUGCUCUUCUUACAACAUAAAUUCUAGGACACCAACAUUGAAGCUCUCUCACAUCAUCAUUGUACAUAGAGCUUGAAGAUGAAUACCGGUUGUUGUAGUUGUUUUUGCCCAUUCGCGCACCACCCAUGAAUUCUAAACACUGAAUCUACAAGGCAGAGCACUUGAUUUAUGAAUUUCGAAUUUAAUCAAAAAAAUUAGGGUUUUAAGUUUUUUAAAUCGAGGAAGAAAUUUUGGGGAUUUUGAACUCUAUGUAAGGAAUUAUAACAUUAGGGUUCCAAAUUUAUAUAUUUGGGGAAGAAAUAGCCCUAAAUGAGGAAGUGGAGAAAGAGCCGUUACUCACAAAGAAGGGAAAGAGCCGUUGCGAAUUUUCUGAAAAUCCAUCAAUUUGGUCCUUGGAAAUUUUGUUUAAAUCCAUCGAUUUCGUCCUUCAAAAUUUUGUAUAAAUCAAUCAAUUUGGUCCCUGCUUGCGUGGCAUCUGACGUGGUAAGCUUUGUCAGAGGUUAACGUGACACGUCACCUCCGUUAACAGACCAACUUAACGGAGGGGCUAAUUUGAUUGACAUUUUGUAAAUUCAGGGACUAAUUUGAUAUUUCGAAUAAUUCAGGGACGAAAUUGGCCGAUUUUUCAAAAUUCAAGGACUAUUUUGAGGUAUUAGUCAUUGUUAUUGUAUUAAAAUUGGUUCACAAAUUUACCUUGGAUGCAUUAUUGUAUUGAACAGGAUUCCUACAAGAGAUAAUUUAUUGCGGCAUCAAGUGAUAAGCACCAAAUGAUAUUCAUUAUUCGGGUGGGUGCUUGAUGAAUAAGUGUUGAUCAUCGUUUUUGGAGCUGUUCGGUCUUCGAUGGUCUCCAGUAUUGGUUCACCAAUGGUUAGAGAUGGACUCAGUCAGUCCUUUAUGUAUUUCUCAUCAUGUUAUCCAAUUUGGCAUUUAGGAGGUUAUUCAAAGAAAUUACAAUCUAUUUUUUAUUUGAUCAGGUUAACUAGUGUGUGUAUUAUAUGGAAGGAAAUAAAUUCUCGCAUUUUUUAGCAUAAUCAGGUUUUGAUUCAUCAUGUUGUCUACAAAGUUAAAUUUUGAACCUUAUCAUGGUUGAAAAUGAAAAUCAAUUUUUUUCUUUUGAUUUUCAGCUCUAUAGUGGCAUAUCCCGGUUGCUUGUUUGGGACUUAUUACCUAGUUUGAGCUUAUUGUUUUUUGUUUGUUUUCCCAUUUUUGUUUUCUAGUUGUUGUAUCUUGAUUCUUUAGUCUAUUUUCUUUUUGUACUGAUUAGGAGACUUUGACCGUUUUAAUAUAUUUCAUUUUAAUUUCUUAAAAAAUAAUAUAGAAAACUAGUGAUAUUUGGGAAUUCUCUAUGUUCGGGUUUUCUCGUCACAUGUUGAAACUUUAUUUAUUCUUUUAUUCAUAUAUUUAUUUAUUUGACUUACUGUUUAUUAGCAAAGAAAAUUGUAAGGCCUCCAAAUUUUAACUUUGCGGAAACUCCCUUCAAGAUAAAAAAGUGAUCGUAGGUAUUGCCUCAUUUUGAAGGAUGCAUUGGUGCAAUAGAUGGAUCACAUAUUCGAGCCAUUGUUUCUACUAAAGAUCAAAUUCGUUAUAUUGGUAGAAAGGGAUUUCCAAAACAAAAUGUCAUGUUAGUGUGCAACUUAGACAUGUUAUUCACUUUUGUUGUUGUUGGCUACCCGGUACUGCUCAUGACACUCGUAUUCUUUCAUUUGUGAUUGAAGAAAUGGAAAUUGUGUUCCCACAUCCACCUGAAGGUACGCAUGAUUUUAUUUUACAAUAAAUUUUAAGACAAGUGUAUCUAUAUAUUUAAGUUUACACAUAAACUAACAAUAAAUUUUAUGAUUUUUAGGAAAGUAUUAUUUGGUUGAUUUUAGAUAUCCAAACAUGAAAGGGUACCUUUCACCAUACAAAGGUGAAAGAUAUCACAUUCCUUAUUUUAGAAAUGGUAGUCAAGCAGAAGGGAUGCAUGAAGUGUUCAACCAUGCACAUUCUUCAUUGAGAAAUGUCAUUGAAAGAACAAUUGGAGUUUGGAAAAAAAGAUGGCAUAUCUUAUGUGAUAUGCGACCAUUUUCACUAAUCAAACAACAAAAGAUCAUAGUUGCAACAACAGCAGUCCACAUUUUUAUUCGAAUGUGUGGAGUUGAAGAUGAAAAGUUUAAUAAAUAUGAUGUUAUCUCUGAAUAUAUGAUUCAGCAUGACGAAGAAAGCAAUAUAAAUGAAGAAACCGAUUCAUAUAAUCCAGGAAGAGUACAAGAUGGAGGCUACAUGAAUAAAGUUAGAAAUCAAAUAGGAGUUGCGUUGAUGGAGAGUAGAAAUGUUUGAGUUUGUGAUGAUUUAUGUUUUUUUUUUUUAAACAAGAUGAUUUAUGUUUUUAAUUUUCCAAACUAAUUUGAUAUUAUAUAUUUAUGUUAUUAUUUGAGCAUCCUUAAAUUAUUUCUCAUAUUCAAAUAUUGAACAAGUCCUUUAUAUGAUGAUACGAAUUUGUAUUCAUGUUACACAAAAUAAACGUCAUUGAGUAAAUAUAGUAUUUGUAAAAAAAAUAUUUUAUAUUUUACACAUUUUUUCCCUUCCAAAAAAUAUUUAAACAUUUUUUAUUUAUUAUGUUAAUUCAUAAUAAAUUUAAAGUUUUGUCCUCGUGAGCUUAGCUCAGUUGAUAUAGACAAUGCAUAAAUAUAUGCAAGGUCUUGCGUUCGAACCCCGGACACUACCACAAAAAUAAGAAAUUCAAAGUUUUCUACAAUAUUUUGCCAAACAAACUUUUAACUUAAAAAUAAAUUUAGAACUAAAAAUAAAAAAUAAAGAAACCAAACAGCUUUAGCUUUUUCUUUAAAUGAUUUUAGUUUAACUUUAUUUUAAAGUAGCUUUUAGAGUGAAAAUAAGUCUAGUCGGUAAACGAAAUAUCAUAUAUUUAUAGUGACCAAAAUCUUAUUUAACCCUUUCGUAUAUAGACGUAUCUAAAACACCAUUUUAUUUAUCCACUCAGUCCAAACACAUUUAUAAGCAAAAAUAACCAACUGUACAUGGAUUAAGAAAAAUUGGUUAAUCUCAUUUGAUCUUCAUAAUGUAGUAAACGAAUUUAGAUAAUCACAUUUUCUAAACUACCAUUUUAUUAAUUUAAUUUUGUAUGGGACUUGUUCCAUUGAAGGAUGGUUUGAGAAUCAUAGCAUUACAAUACAUAUGGUGAAGUUAUUUAAAUUUUGCUUAUGUUGAUCCACAAUAUAUGAAAACAUUUUAGCUUAUAUUUGACUCUAGUCUAGUAUUCCUUCCGUCUCAAAAAUAAUAGUCAUUUAAGAAAACUUUAUUUAUUUUGUUUGUUAAAAAAAAAACUUUAUUUACCAAAAAAUAGUCAUUUAGGAAAAAAAAAAAAAAAGCAAGCUAGUCAUAUAAAAUGGAAAUUAUAUUUAGAAACUUUUUUUUUCCUCAAAACGUGCUUGUAAAAAAAGGAUGGAUAGAGUAUUAUUUAUUUGCCAAUAACAAAAAAAUUAUAUCUUUAGGAUGUGUUUUUGUAAAAAAAAAAAAGAAAAAAAAAACUUCUUUAGGACGUGUGAAUCUUGAAAUUCAAUACCAAAUUUGUUACCUGUUGGAACUUUAUUCAUUUUUUUUUGGUACUUUAUUCAUUUAUUUAUUUAUCUGACUUACCGUUGAAACUUUAUCUGAAAACAUGCCCGAAUUGCUUAGGUACUCGUAGUAUAGUACUGUACUUUAUUAAUUUACAAAUUCACACAAAUCAUUUUUGAAAUGAAAAAACAUAAAAUGCUCUCGUUGAGAGUUGAAUUCAAAACCUCUCGCUCAUUAAACGGAUUCUCUAACCAACUGAACCACCAGAGCUGAGUUUUUUUCACACAAAUCUUAAAUUACAUGGAAUGUUGUAAACAAUCAAAAGACAACAACAAUAACAAAACAAAAACUAGAGUUUAUUAAACACCAAAGUUGAAAGAUGCUCCAAAGGUACAAGGCGAGUCCAUUAGAGUCCCAAAGAACACAAGUCCACGACAUGAUAUUUUUCUGCAAAAUAAAUCAAUAAAAAUAUCUCAUGAGUUACAUAGUUAUAUUCACUAAAUAAUAUCGAUUCAGACUAUGUUUUAAAUUUGAAAACUGUACACCAAUUAAUAAUUUUAUGAGGAAAACAAAAUUUAGUAGAAAGUCUUAAAAAGUAUUAGUGGUUACUCAUAAGAACUUGAGAAUUAUUAUGUAAAAAAGCAUAAUCACCCAAAAAUUUACUUAAUUAUCAUCGUGUGUUCGGAGAAAAAGAAAUGGUGAGAAAAAAUACAAUAUGAAAGUUGCAAUAAUUUUUCCUUUUAUGACAGCUUAAAUAUGUAUAAUUGCUUUUAAGCUAAAGUAGCUCCCAAAAUAGCUUUCUAAAAAUUUAAUUGUUUUUAUUGUGUAUUUCAAAGAGGGAAAACAUGCGAUGUUGAUAAAUAAACGAACACAUAAAAAUUACAAUACUGGAUUUGCUUACCAUAUUGAAAAGAUUCAAGUGAAAUAGUGCACUUUAUGACUAUUUUGACAUAAACCAGUCUUUCACAUCAUAAAGGAAAUUGAAGUAAGCAUGUCUCCAUGACCUCUUGAAUAAAAGAGAACCAAAAACUACCCAGAAGCCUGUUGCAAAUCCAACUCCCAUACCCAUAUAGAAACAUUCCAUUAGCUCGGAUCCUUCCUCUUCUUUUGCCAUAACAUUUAUGUCACCAUCAGGGACUUUAUCAUGGUUGCAUUUCUCAAUGAGCGGACUUCCACAAAGUUCAGGAUUGCCCAUAUAACUAAGUGGUGUAAAGCUUUGGAGUUGGGUUCCUAAUGGGAUUUGACCUUUUAAAUUGUUGAAUGAGAGAUUCAAUACCUCAAGAAAAGAUAGAGCAGACAUGGUUUGAGGAAUUUCUCCUGAAAGUGAGUUGUUUGACAGAUCAAGGGACUCUAACUGUUUCAUGUUGCCAAUUUCAUUUGGUAUGGUUCCCAUGAAUUGAUUUUGUGACAAGUUCAAGGAUUGUAAUGCAGUGAGUCUGAAUAUUUCUAAAGGAAUUCUGCCGGACAAACUAUUGUUAGAAAGAUCAAUGACAUGCAUAUACUUAGGAUAGUUCAAGUCGUUGCCUUUUGAUAAUAAUGGAAUAGUGGUUAUAAAAGUGACACCGAAAACAUUGUAUGAAAAAUAAAAUUCAUUUUGUGUAACAUCAUUAAAAGUCAUGGAAGUGAUAUUUGAUAGGCACUGAGGUAUUGCUCCAGUUAAUCUAUUAUUUGAGAGAUCCAAAACAAAGAGAGAGGAUAGUUGGCAUAUUUGUGAAGGAAUAUCACCACUAAAUUCAUUUGAUCUCAAUUGAAGAACUUCCAUAUCUUGUCCAAUCCAAUUUGGUAUAUUACCAGAAAAUUUGUUGUUCCUAAAAUUAACAAUCACGAGUUUUUUACAACUUUCCAAUGACACAGGUAUUUCCCCAUGCAACAUAGUAUUAGAAAUAUGGAACGACAUAAGGUUGGAUAAGGAACCCAUUGAGUUUGGAAUCAUGCCUGUUAGAUUAUUGUUCCCUAGAUUGACAUGAAUAAGAGAUUUCCAGUUUCCCCAACAUUCAGUGAGUCCUCCAGAUAAAUGGUUAUCAGAGACAUCCAAGAACAUUAAAUUGGUGUUCUCUAUCAUAUUAUGGCAUAACAGAUGAGAAAGAGGUCCAGUCAAAUUGUUGAAACUUAAAUUGAAAACACUCACAUUUGAAGUUAAUUGAGGAAGGCCACCACUCAAACCAUUAUCAAUCAACCAUGUAACUUUAGAAUUUAACAACACAUUUGACAUGUUCCAAGGCAUGUUAUUGUGGAAUAAAGAAAGAAACAAACAAUGAGAUGCCAAACUCCAAAACUUGUCCUGAGAUACAUCUUUAAACGUGGAGUUUUCAAUUUUUAAAGUAGUGAGAGAUGUUUGUGUGUACAACCAUGGGAUAAGUUUAAGAUUUGCACACUUCAAAUCAAGUAGUUGAAGUUUAAAAGGAGGAAUCCAUUGAGGAUCAAAAUUGAAGAUGGAUAAGGGUGAACCAAACCACAACUCUUUUAAAUUGAAAAGUUUGUCAAAAUUUCGAUGCGUCACAACUCCUGAAAGGUUAUUUUCUCCUACAUACAACACCUCUAAAUUUGAGAGUUUUCCUAAACUUUCAGGAAGACUACCGGUUAAGUUAUUUAAGACAACAUCAAAGACAGUCAAUGAUGACACAUUCCCCAGAGUUGUUGGAAUCGAUCCAAUCAAUAAAUUCAUACUGAGCUCUAGAUAUUCAAGGUUUGUAAAUUGCCCUAUCCAGUCAGGAAUUUUUCCACUCAUCUCGUUGCCCAUCAAAAUCAAUGUAAUCAAGUUUUGAAGUUUCAAUAAUGUUUCAGGUAUUUGUCCAUGGAAACGAUUUGCUUGAAGAUUUAAAUAAGCAAGGCCACUUAUAUUGAACAACCAAAUAGGCAAGUCAGAGAAGAAAUCAUUUUGAGAAAGAUCAAGAUAUUCAAGGGAAGUGAAGUUGGCAUAUAGAAGAGACUGACUAGCACUUUUAAGCUGACACCUAUACAAAUGUAACUCAGAAAGUGAAGGAAACAUAGUCAAUAUUUGAAGCCAACGAGUUUCCCUAUGGAGAUCAAUGGAGUCCAGGUUGAGAAAUUGUAAGGAUGACGAGAGACGAAGAAGCCAUCUCAAAUCAUUAAUCACAAGAUUCUCAUUUUGAGACAAGUCAAGAUGAAAAACAUUGGAAAAGUUUCCACUCCCAUGAGAAGUGUUAACUGAUGACAAUUUUUGACAAUCCAUUGGCAAGUGUAUGGAUUUGAAAUCGUUGUUGCUCAAAUCCAAGUAGUUCAAAAAUUCAAGGUCAAAUAAAGAAAGAUGAAUUUUACCUGCCAAACAAUGUGGUUUAUUCGUUUUCAUGUUGCCAAUAGUGAUGUCUUCAUCAUCAUCGGUGAAACAAGGGAGGCUGAUAUUUGUGACUCUGCCAUUCAUGUUACAAUGAACUCCUCUCCAUUUGCAACAAUCUUCUUUGUUGGACCAUGUUGGCAACAUGCCUAAUGGAUCAAUGAGUCCAUGUUUAAAACAAAGGAGUAUUUGUUUGUCUUUUUGGUUGCAAGAAGCAUUUGUCUCACAUAUUACUAUAUUUAAUAUUAUUAUAAAUGAAAAUAAUAGAGAGAAUGGUGCAUUUUGGGAGGAGAUAAAUCUCACCAUGUUAUCACUAGAUAUAAAGGUUUAAGAUAUUGUAAUUAGUCUACCUUGGAUGCCUUAUAUAUAGGUGGCACAUAUGGAGUGUCAGUUGGGUUAACGACCUUGGCUUCUUUUUUGGGGAGACCCUUAUAUUAUUAUUAUUUGAAAAUUGUUUAAGGCAUAUUUUCAUCAUUUUUCAACAAAAGAUAAAAGUAAAAUAAAUUGCUGAUAAUAUUUUUAUUGCGUUUUUCAACUUAUCAUUGAUAAAUUAUAGGUCAAAUAUCUCCCUGGGUCCUUUAAGUUUCACGUUUGUUUCAGAUAGGUCCUUUAAAUUCUAAGGUUUCAGAUAAGUCCUUUAAGUUUCGUGUUUGUUUCGGAUAGGUCCUUUAAGUUUCUAAGGUUUCAGAUAGGUCAUUUAAGUUUCGAGUUUAUUUCGGAUAGGUCAUUUCUAUCAAAUCAACUUUGGCUUAACGGAGGUUGAUAGAAAGGACAUAUCUGAAACAAACUUGAAACUUAAAGGACCUAUCUGAAACCUUAGAAACUUAAAGGACUUAUCCGUAACAAACUCGAAACUUAAAAGACCUAUCUGAAACCUUAAAAACUUAAAGGAUCUAUCUGAAACAAACAUGAUACUUAAAGGACCCGGGGUGGUAUCUGGCCUAAAUUAUAUUAUCAUUGUGUAAUAAUUUUUGCAAAAUAUGUGGUCUAGUAUGUGAAAAUGUAUCAGUAAUAAUGAGUGAUCUAUAGCCACUUAUAUUGAUAAUUUUAACUAGCAAUUUAGUCAUGUCUAUCUUUAAAUGCACUUUCAAUUCCCAAUUUUCCUGGAUGCACAAUAUUGAGUAAUAUUGAUGGAAACUUCUACUAAUGUUAGGAAACUAUUGAGAAUAAUACUCCAAUAGAAAGGGAACACCGUGAUUCAAGGAAUGUAAUGUUUCCAUCACAAACUAUAAAAUAUCUUAUAUGCUAUAACUUGAUUGUCGAAACGUUGUAGAUUUCCACACCAUCACUCUCAACCUUUCACAACCGGAGAAAUUCAUGAACUUUCAAGGAAGGCCCAAUACAAUACAUACAAUUCAAGUAGAGAUACGAGACAAAUUACUAAUUUGGCACGGAAUGUUUCAUUGGUGUGUUGACUAAGGUAGGGUCUUAAUUAAUUGGUCUUUGCCUCAGCAUUCUUGUAGUAUAAAAUACGGUAAACUACAUUUUCUUUUCCUUUUUUCUUUUAGUGGUGUCAUUGGUUCAAACCUCGAACCUUGCAUAUAUUAUCCAUUGUCCUUACCUGAGAUAAGGUUAUGAGACAUAUUUUAUUUUUCUUUUAAAAGAAAAGGAAAAUGAUAACAGCAGAAGUCGAACCCUAGACUUCAUUUUUAAACUCUUUUAACUCCCCAAAACUUUAAAUUUGGAUCGUAAACUAAAUUGUAUGUCAUUGCGAUUUUUCUAAAGUCGAUAUCGGCAAAGAUAAGUUAUUAUCACAUUUUAUCUCCAAAAAAAACUAUCUUUAUAAUUUCUUAUCUUAUCACACUGAUUCCUCUUAUUUUUUCACACUCUUAUUUCUUUCAUGUUGUCUAAUCUCUCUUUGCAUCAUAUAACCUUCACCACAAACCUUCUCUCUAGUUUUUUCUCUUCAUUUUAUACUUGCUUCUUACUUAAAUGUAUGACUUAAAUAUAUGACUUCAAUAAUAAUAAAUAUUUUGACGGAAAAUUUAAUAAUAAUAUUAAAUUUGUCAAAAAGUGUUUUUUUUUUUGCAAGUUUACUCCAAAGAAGAGAGUAUUAAUUUAUAUUUCUAAUCCUACUAUUUAUAAUUGACAGUAAAAGAGGAAAAAUAAUUAAAGAUAAUUUGUUAUGGAAAUAAUUUAUAAAAUUGAAAAGAGUUCCAUAAAAAUACACAAAUAAGUUUUUCAAGUGUCUUGUGUUAGGUGACACUGACAGAAGUAUUAUAUCUUUUUGUUUUACUUUAUUUAUUAAGGAUUAGUUAUUCAAAUUGGAACUGUAAUAUAUACGAAGUCUGAAACAUGAAUCUGUAAAAAUAAAAACAUAUAUUUUAAUUUUGUAAUUUUAAAUUCUUUCUAUUCUUAACCCUGUAAUAUUGCUUAGAAGUUGAAUUUUUUCAUGAUUUUUUGCAAACAUUUUUAAGACAUUAAAAUAUGGCUUUCCAAAAAAAAAUCUAACAAGGGCCAUAUUAAUUAUGAGUUUUUAAAGCGCCAAAAACUAAAAAAACAAAACAAGAUAAUAUUGACUUAUAAAUCGAAUUUUGAGGCGAUUGUUAGAAAACACUUCUAUAAAAAUACAUAGAAAGGAUAAACAAAUUUUCAUAACAUUUUGAAGUCGUUUCGAUUUAUUUUCAUUUUUCAACCAAAACAUGCAAAUUUAAAUUUUUGUUUAGAGUAGACAUAUAAUCACGGGUCAAAUUUGGUUACUAAUUUUUAAGGCAUGGUUGAAAACCUUCACCAUGAAAUUUUAUACUUUUUAAACGAUGGAAAAAUUAGUUAUGAAAUGUUUAAGGAAUUUAUAAUUACGGGGUACGGAAAUUAACCAUUAAUAUUUUUCUUGUCAAAAAUUUCUAAUUUUUUGUGGAAAGUCAUAUUUUUAACGUCCCAAACAUGCUUGAAACAAAUCAUGAAAAAAUUCAACCUAUAGGAAACAUUUCUAGACUUUGCUUAUAUUACAUGGUCAAAAAUAAAAAGAAUAUCAAAUUACAAAAUAUCAAAUUACAAGGUUAGAAUAUAUAUUUUAUUUUUUAAAAGGUUAUUUUUCAGACUUUGCGUAUAUUACAUGGUCAAUUUGAACAAUUAACCCAUUUAUUAGUUGAUAACUUCUUUCCCACUUUUCCCUCAAAAAAAAAAAAACUUCUUUCCCACUUAUCAAGAUUGGUAUUUGGUUUUUUUUAGACCAUAAAGCCUAACACAAACGUUAAUUCCAAAAUUGUUUGGAUGAAUUUGAUUUGUAGUUAUUUGGGUUCAAACCUUAGAUCUUCCCUUUGCAUGUAAGAGUUUUCAAAUGAUAUUUAAUUUACACUCUUUUUGGAAAAAGUGAUCAAUAGAUACUUUAUCUUCGAAUCCUCUUCAACUUAACAAUGGACAUGAAGAAGUUAAUCCACUUUGAAGUAACUUCAAAAUAAAUUCUCUAAUCCUCCUGAUGUUCAAACCUCCUGACUCCUUAUUAGAACACACUUUGUCCCAAUGGAUUUUAUGAAUUUUGCAUGUCCCUUCAAGAAAUAAUUAAAAUUAGAUUCUGUUAAAAACAUUAAACAUGUGGGAGCCUUGAAGAAGAGAUUCAAUUUAAUCAUUAUUGCAUUUUCUAUGUUUGAUUCUGAUUUUUCAAACUCAUUUUUCUUGUAACAUUUUGUAUGCUCUCUCUUAUUUGUUUUCAUACCUACUAAUUCUACUUUGGUCUUGGUGAUGAGUGCACUUCAGCAUUCUUUUAAAAUGACAAAUUCUUGAAAAUUGAGGGUAUUUUUGAAAAGAAAAAUUCAAACCAAAAGUGUUGAAUGGGUAGUUUUCUUUGUAUAUAGUAUAGAUAUUAUUGAGUGUCGAGUCUUGAGUGUCUCUACCUCAUUACUGUCUUUUCUCUCUUUAAUUCUGAUCCGAACACCAUUUUCCAUUGUAUCUUUUUAUACAUUUUUUCUGUUUUUUAUCUCCAACUUGCUUCUUUUAUUUGUGUUUUUUCUUUUAUAUCCCUUUCUUCUUCGCCUCUUUUGCACUCUGUAAUAGCCCGAUUUUUAGCUAGAUUUAUUUUAAUUACUUUUAAUUGUGUUUGUGUGUGAUUAAUUGUGCUUGUGUGUAUUUAAUUGUCGUCGGGUGCAUUUACGUGGAUUACCGUAUUAGAAGGGUAUUUUAGUCAUUUGACAGGUAAGGGUAAAAUGGUAAUUUUGGUGAGAAUCAUUUUAAUAUUUAGUGAGAACCCUUAUUUUACUAAGUUACUAGUGUAGUGAUUAGUUUUUACCGUUAGUGACCGUUCGUUAUAUUUUACCGUUGUUAGUAAUUACCGUUGAGUGGAUAGAAACUUUUUGGAAUUAUGUUAGAAUGAGUUAGGCCCAUUAGAAUUUGGAAUUGAGCCCAUUAAGGGAGAUAACAUUAGGGUUGUCAUAGGAAAAUAUCUUUCAUUCACUUCACAAAACACUUUCCUAGAGAGAGAGGGAGGUAGAGAGAGAAAGAGGUGAAGAGAAGAACAAGAGUGUUGAAGGAAAAGCUUGGGGAAUCAAUUUGGGUGACCUAGGAGCUGAAUUGAAGCAAGGGUUAGAGAUAAUCAACUUCAAAGGUAAGGGGGUUAGUUAUUAUCAUAAUCAUGUACAAUCUUUGCAUUUUCUCAUGUUGUAUGAAAAUGGGUUGGUGAACAAUUGUUGUUAAAUUCGUGCUCUUGCUGUGAUACUAUUUUCUUGUGCUUGAAUUGAUGAUUAUGGUAUGUUUAUGGGUGAAAUUACAUGUUUCUAAGUAUGUAUAAAUGUUGAGUUAUGAAAUUAUGCUUAAUUGAUGAAAUUUGAUAUGUUUUGAUUGAAAAGAGAUGUGAUUCAUGUUCCAUUAAUGUGGUUAUUGUUAACUGAUGCUAUUGUAAGUGAAUUAUGAUUUGGGUAUACUUAAUUGUGGAUUGAUGAUGAGAAAUAAAUUGUUGUUGGUGGUUUUGUGAAAUUGGUGAAGUUGAGUUAAGUGUUCAUGUGAAGGACCAAAAUGAACUUUUUGAUAUAUAUAUGGUUGUUGACUGAAAUUUUGUUAUUGUUGGAUGAAUUGAACCUAUGAGAAUUUCUGUUUUCAUGUUGUGGUUAUGUUAGUUGAGUCGUUUGGGAGAAAACGGGUUUUUCGUGUGAAAUGUCGAUGUUUAAGCGUUUUCGCCAAUAAGUGAUUAUGUGAGGUUUUGAAAAUGACUUUUGGGAUGGUUGAAACAUGAAAUUUUUUAUAGAUUAUGUUAGAGUCAAGUGUCAGGAUCGUGUAGGUGAAAACGGCAUCAAAAUCCGAUUAACGGUUUGCAUUUUACGCGUGAAAUGGUGAAAAACGCACUUUUUGGAAAAGCUGUAAGCGAACAGGCUAGAAGCAGACUUCAGAAGCACACUUCAGAAGCACACUUCAGAAGCAUACUUCAGAAGCAUGCCAGAAGCUUCUCAAGAAGCGAAAUUGCCAGUUCCAGCAUCCCCUGUUUCGCGUUCUUGCGUCUUUUUCACCUAUUUCUGUUUCGAAUUGGCCUUUGGUGUAAACAUGAAAGUUUUAGAUAACUAUGUUAGCUUUCUAAUGGCUUUGGUUUGACGUCCAAAUGAUUUUUAGAACUUGAGUUAUGAUCAAAUUACUACACAUGGGUCAUGUGAAUUUUUGUGAAAACUUAUCAUAACUUUUUCUUUGAGCCGUGGAACUUUUCCAAACUUGAUUUUGGGUUUAAUGAGGUACUUAGAGUGAAUAAUUGAGUAUGCAUGUAUAUGUUUGAGUUAUGAUGACUAUCGUGAGAAACGUAUGCUAAUUGCUUGGAAUAUAAGAAUUCUUGAAUUGGUAAAAUCAAACGUGAUGAGUGAUGUUUGUUGAUUAUUGAAAAUCAUGUAAUUGAUGUUGGAUGACAUUGUUGAUUAUUGGUAAAUAUGUUGAUGUGUGAUGAUGAAUACUAUGAUUUAUUUGUGUGGGCAUGUUUUCUUGAUAAUGCAAUGUUGUGGAGAUAAUCAAUACAAUUGGGUGUUGUCCUAUAUAUUGAGUUGAGAUUGUGAAUUGUUGUCGCAUUAUCGAGUCCUUAUACAUGUCCAUGCAUCAUAGUCGUUGUUGCUGUAAAAGAGUUGAACUCUUUUACUUCGAGAUUAUUGUAAGGCAGGUGUGAGCCCUUACAUUCGAUGUGCAAGUGGCAUCGAAAGGUGACGACCUUGUUGAGAUUUGGUACCGCAUGCAUUUAUGUGUCCAUAAGUGCAUAUCAUAGCAUGAGUCCUAUGUGAAUUGUGUGAUUGGUGAUGAUUUGAGAUGAAUGAAUGUUGAUAAUGAUUGUCUAUGAUUGAUGUUGUGAAUGAAUAUUUAUGAUUGGAUAAUUAUUCAUGUGAUUGAUAUAUGUGGAUACGAACUAUCAAGUUGUGGUAUAAGUAUUUAUGCAUGACUAAUAUUAUUCAAGUACAUGAUAUUAUUUGAUUUGAUUAUUAUCUGGAUUAUGAUAAUGUAAUGCUUACCCCCAGUGUUUUAACCGCCUACUUGCCUGUAUGGGUGAGUAGACGUUGUGCAGGAGUAGUCUCAGUGAGUCUUUGCGUGGGAUAUCGGGAGCUUCCUCCGAUAUCGGUGUUGUGUCGGCUCUGAUCUAGGCUUGUCGUGUCGGUCUAGAUUAGGUUGUUAUAUUUUUUUCCUUUGAAUUAUUAUUUUGUUGAAGACUACCCGUAUGUUUGGGUUUUGAGAUUUAUCUUUGGGAUAGGAUUUAUUUGCUCAUGGCAUGUAUAUAUUUGAUCACUCUGAUUUGUAUUCCGCUGUAACUGUUGAGGUUUACAUACAUGUCUAUCGGUUUUUGAAUUUUGAAUAAGACGUAAUCUCUAUUUCUUGAAUAAAUGUAUUAUUCACAUGUUUAAUUGCUUUAAUAAAAAUAGGAGCGCUACACACUCCAAUAGAUAGUAUAAGACAAUUUUCAUCUCUUCAUCUCAACAAUUUGCUGAGAAAUUUGUAUAUGAAUAUAACCCCUUUAUCAUUUUUCGAUGACAAUGACCUUAAAAUCAAUUUGCAUAAUUGCAUUAGUUACAAGGCAAAGACUUUUCAUAUUGAUCAAUUUCAAAUAAAACAAAAUAACCUAUCAAAUAAUAAAACUAUUUCAGCCAGCUCAUAAUCCUAGUUGAUCAAGACAUGAUUAGUUGGGAAAGUUUUGAGUAGCAUAUUUAUUGUUCAGAAACUAGUUACUGAAAUUACAUAACUAAAAACUAAUUAUUACUUAAAAAUUCAAAAUUUACAUAUGAUGCAUGUUAUACCCUGAUUUUGGACCUAAAAAUACUCGUUCAAAUUUCAUUUUUUAACACUGAUAUUUGUCAAUUCUCUGUUAUUUUACUCUGAAUCUUUACUCUCUUUUUAAAACAUAUUUUACUGCCUCUGUCUGUCUUUUCUUGUAUUACAAGUCAUUUAAGAACUCUCUGAAACGUCGCAUUACUUUUCUCACAUUUUAUUUCAAAAAUCAUACAAAAGGGUAUUUUGGUCAUUUCCUGCAGUGGAGCCCAUUUUAAUCCCUGUGUUUGUCUCUGAGUCUUUUCAAUUUGUUUGUACAAAUCUUUAUUGAGUCUUUGUUUAAAAAUCAUUUCAAAAAUUGCAUCUGAGUCAGUUUAGUCCCUAGGGGCAUUUUGGUCUUUUCCUGUCAAAAUUUCGGCAGAGAGGUAUUUUAAAAUACCUCAUUUUUGUAGCUGGUUCAUUUUAGUCCUUUUGUUGAUUUUAUUUUUGGUUUCACUUUACGUUUUGUCCAAUUUAUUAAUUUUAGUCCAAUUUUAUUUUUAUUGCAUUUUAGUCCUUGAGAUAGUUUCUAAAAUUGCAUUUUAGUCCAAAACUUUUAAAAAUUUCAUUUUUAGUCCUUUUUCUUAUUUUGCAGUCCAGUCCUUCAAUUUCCUUAUUUUGCAGAUAGGUCGUUAAGGCCAAAAGUCCAAGGCAGAGCCAAGCACAGCCCAAGGACAGAUGUCAUUUUUUCAUUGGUUCUCAGCUCCACAUGUCAGCUAUAAAUAUAAACACAGUGUCAGAAAUUUCAAAAAAGGUCAGAUACACAAUCACUGCCACAUCACAGAAACAGAUUUCAACUUUCUCUCUCCAUUCAGUUAGAUCUAAACAGAAAAAUUCUCAAGAACAAAGAAAAAACCCUAGAAAUUUCCAGAGCUAGAAUCCAUUGAAAUGGCUUUGAUUCUCAGAGAUUCCGUAGAAUCUUCAUCAUCGAAUUGAUCAGUUCUCUGCAAUUCCGAGUGCGAGUUCGCGUUUGAAGCAAUCUCAAGCACUGAUCACAGAGAGAGAAUCGGAGAAAGAAGCAAUCUCAAGCACAUAAUCACAGAGAAAGAAUCGGAGAAGAUGAAGGGAUUGAAUCAGUGAAUCAUCGAUUUAUUUUCGGUCCAAAGAACAACCAGAAGGAUCAAAGAAUCAUCAAGAACACUCAAGUUUUUCCGAAGAAAAUUAUCUCAAAACCUCCAACCAAAACUCAGGUAAAACUCAUUUUUUCUCGUUAAAAACGUUAAUCAUAGUUAAACCUGCAUGAAAACGAACAAACCAGAUCUAAAAAGUUUCCAGAACAGAAAACGAACCGAACCGUAUGCGCAAGACCUAGAUCCAUAAGGACCUAGGCUUUGCAAGCAAGAACAAGCACCAGAGAAGUAACAAAUACGAAACGAUGUAGAUCCUUAAGAGUUUGAACGUACUCAUUCAAAACCCUAAAAAAUAAUUUCAAAACCGUAUGAAAAUUCUCCGAUCUACGUCGUUUCAAGCUUUGUUUAUGAAAAUCAUUGUUGGAUUCAUGUUUAGGGUUUAAAGAUGAACAAGAAAACGUAAGAUUUUUUGAAGUUCUGGAAACCUUCAUGCUGGAACCCUAGGGUUUCAUCGGAGAAGAUGAAGUUUCCGAUGAAUCUUCAUCUUCUCCGGCGUGCUCAAGCACAAGUCCGGCGAAGAAAUUCAGAUAGAGAAGAGAGAAGAGAGAAGACUGAAACUUAGAGAGAGAAAGAAGGUUUGCAAAUGAAAAAACCGGCGUUCAGACUUGUAAAUAGGCUAGUGAACCGGACCGGUCCGAAACCGGUCCAUUCCCGUUGAUUCCUGGCCGUUUGAUCUAGGGUUUCAGGACUCUGGAUCAAUCCUGUGGCUCCUGUGCGCCCAGGCUUUUAGGAGUUGGGUUGGGCCUAUUUUCUUUGGUUUUCUUACGUCUUUACUAUUUUUUGUGCUAUUCACACCAUUUUUCUUGCUAUUUGAACCAGUGCUUUGAUCAAAAAUCUUGAUAAAAUUUCUAAAAAAUUUAUGCUUGCUUUUUGAUGUUUUCUUGAUGUUUUUAUGACAUUUUUGCAUAUUGAGGUUGAUAAAAUCUUGUAUGAUUGAUUCAUAGCAUUUUAAUUCUUUUUGGAUUAUUUCUUAUGAAUUUUUUGUCAUAUCUUUGUCCUUGAUUUGUGGAUAUGUGAUAAAAGCCUUUUGAUGUGUUGAUAUGAGAUAGUUAUGCCUAUAAUCACAUGUUGAUCUUGCUGUUUUGGAUUGAUUCAUGAAGCCUUGAUUUUGUGAGCAAUGUAUGUAUAUUUUGGGAAAUGAAAUGCUAAGCCUAUUUUAAAAAAGUUGGUAUGAAAUUAUGCUUGAAUGCUUCCAAUAAUUCCAUGUUAUAGCUUGAGAUAAAGAAAACCAUUUCAAAAUUUACCAUGGCAUGAGAAUUAGAGGCCACAAAUGCUUUAAGUUUCAUACCAAAAUUCUUAGGGUUUGUUAUCAUUUUAUUACUAUCUUUGUGUCAUUUUAUAUGCUUUUGUCUCUUGUUACUUUUUAUGCUUUAUUUCACUAACAAGUUUAUCUCCAUAUUUCAUACAUCUCAUUAAGCAUUGCAUUCCUAUUUCAAUUUUACAUAGUUUAGUUUUUUUUGUAUUCUUUUAUUUUCAUUUGGGGAAUGUAAUAUUUAGGUAGGUUUUAUUUCUUUUAAAUUUCUUACAAAGACCAUAGAAUGUAACUAGGACAAUGUAAAGGACUAUGGACACUAUAAGUGAUGUACACCGACACAAGCACUGACACGCACACACGUUGCAUGUUUACCGUUUAGAUGUAUGCUUAGGAAACGCGAUUUUUAGACAAAUGCCAAUUUUCAAAAAAAAGAAUAAUAAACCAAUUCCAUCACUCAAAUUUUUUUUUUCCAAACAAACCUUGGAGUCAAAACUCCAUUGAGACUUUUUCCCUUUAUUUUCUUAAACAAAUCCAAAUGAAUCCUAAUUCCUACUUAGACUUUUUUUUAAUAUCAAUUGAACCAACCAUUCACCAUGUUCUUCUCUUAUGCCUUUAAGGCCUCUUUCUCUUCUUGAAAACCAUUUUCCAACCAAAACUAAAAUCAACCAAACACACAAAAACAAUUUUUGAGAAUGAACUACGAUUGGUUUUGAUCCCUUAAAAUGGUACGUAGGCAAUGAGUCAAAACUCCUCCAAGCCAAAUAAAAAUAAGAUCUCAAACAUCUUCUCUCCCCCAUUCUUCACUCAAAUAAAACUUCUUUUCUUUCAAUAAGUAGGCAAUAAAAAUAAAGCGUAGAAAUAAACUUAGGAGAACGGUUCUUAUGGAGUACCAUAAUCGCUCCGGGUGCCUAACACCUUCCCGUAGUGAAAACGACCCCCGAACUUAGAAUAUAAGGGUUUUUCUCAAUUUUGCCCUUCCCAAGAAAAAAUAGAGAAUAUCAAAGAUUGAAAGGUUCAAGCCUAAUUUAUAACUUGACACCCAAAAAUCGCGAUAACAAUGCGUAUAAUCUUCCUAUGGCUUCUUAUCAUGUGAGAAAAUAACUUUGUUGGCAAAGUUUGUCCAUUGUGUGACAUGAUAAAUACAUAGUUCAUUCUUAUAAGCUCUAUUUUUGUCUUUGGCCAGUUGAGGUUAUGGAUUUUGUAGAAAGGGAGAAAAUUUUGUUUUAAAAAACUUCUUCAAAAUAUUAUAAAAAAUUUCCCCCUUUCAUUUAUAAAGGUGAAUGUAGAGUAUAUAAUGCUCUAGUGUUUUGAUCUGAAUAAACCAAGAUCAAAAAAUUUCUUCAACUUCUUGGAGAUAGGAGUGCUCUUUGCUGAUUUUUUUAUUGAUGAUUAAAGCCAAUGCUUCCUCUCCUGCAAGUAAAUUUUAGACUUAGGAACCAAUUUGAUGUAAAUGGAAUUAAAAUGAUUCCUCAAUAUUCAUAUGCAAUAAUUGUCAUAUUUUGUUGGCUUCAAAUAUAAACUAAUCUAUUACAUUCAAUGUCAUUGUUCCAAUGAGCUUAUUUACCAUUACCAGCAGUAACAUUAUCAUGGGAGGAUCCAUUAGGGCUCAAAUGUUUAUUUUUCCUUGACCAGUACUCUUAAGACCUUUGUUUUGCAUACUCCUUAUAGUCAAAAUCAAUUUUGUUUACAUGCUCCUGAACAAAGUAUUGUGAAGAUAGUUUACAUAAGAUUGUAAUUCAAGAUAUAAGAAGCUUAAGACAAGAAUAACAAAUAUUAGAGUGAAAAAGUGAACAUACCGAAACGAUUCCCCAAAGGCCCCAUAAGAGAUGACUUGCAAGUGUAUAUUUUUCAAUUUCAUCAAGUGGUUGUUUCACUUCAUUAUCAUUAGGUUGUUCUCCUGAGUUCAAAACCAACAGCUCAUGAUAAGAACAACAAUAUGCAUGAUGAAUUGCAAAGUUAAAUGUAUACUCACUAUUUGUUAAUUUAAACAAUGUAUCAGUAUUUUAUUGUUCUAUUUAUAUAAAAAAAACAGAAAAUAACAAAAGAAAUUAGCUAUGUUAAAUAAAAUGAACCAUGUAACAUAAUCUUUUAACAUACAAAAUCUAAAUUGCUACCUGAUGAACUCAAAUAUGUCUGCACAAAUCUUUGACGUUCCUCCAAAUCUAUCAAGAGAAGCAGAUACAUAAAAGUAAUUUUUAAUGGGGAUAUAACGAAAGAAAAUGAUGAUGAGAAGUUUUACUGCAUACCGGGAUAUUUACUAUAGUCAAGAAUAUGUGGAGUUUCGGUAUGAUAAUUUGCAGCCGUGGAGAAAGAGUUAUCAAGUCUUCACAUAGAUAUAAAUAUUAGGAGUAAUAUUUAUAUUGGAUUGAUCCGCCAUGAGAAUACUACAUAGUAAAAGUUAUGAAAAGUGUCAUAAGAUAUUCUCAUAGUGAUAGUGGUGUAUUCCACCCUUCGACCUGAAACCACUAUGUACCCUAGAUGUUGGAGUCGAGUGCUUUGUCACCAUUCAAAUGUUGUCCGUAACAGGAUGACUAUAAAGUUGGUUGAUGGGUACUCCAUGAAUCAUGUUGAGGGACAUGAGUGACCUAGAUGGAAUUUGCCCCUCCUACAUAACAGGAGAAAUGUCUACGGGCCCAAUAUUGAACUAGACAAGGAUGGCACGGUCUAUGCCUUGUGUUCAAUAUAGACAUGAGGGCAAAAGGGUAAUUAUACACAUGAACAUUAUCACGGAAAUGUUUCGUCAGAUCACAUGACAUUCUCGUCACUUUGGUAGCAGUGAUGUGUUGCUAGAUACCGCUCACUGUUUAUAAUAUUAAAUACGUGAUUUAAUAUUAUUGCCAACGUUACGGGAACAUAUAGGGUCACACACAAAGGACAGAUAGAUGAAAGAAACAAAUAAGUAAGACUUAUUUAUAAAAUAAUAAGUGAGACUUAUUUAUAAAAUAAUAAGUGAGACUUAUUAGUAAUUAAAUAAUUAAAUAUGACUUUAUUAUUUAAUUUACGAAAAAUAGAGAAACGCGGUCUACCGUAAGGUACGGUGUAUUUAAGUGUUGUCUUGCUGACCACACAAGUGAUUCUAUAAAUAGAACCUUUGUGUUGAAGCAUUACUAACCUUUUGUGAGUGCUUAACCUAAUUCACAAAAGUUGUGAAACCCUAGCUGCCGCUCUCUAAAACUUGUUCUCUUUGAAUCUCCGUUGGAAUUGGCUAGCACCGGUCAUCGGAGAAUUUAUGUUCAUGUGGACUGAGUAGAGGCAUCGCUGCUUUGCUUUGCUCGUGAUCAGAAAUAUUUCUUCUACAAAGGUUCAGCUCUUCAAGAGGUAAACACAUGAAUCUUAAAGUGUUUAAGUUUCUAUUUGAUUUGUGAUUAAUGAUUUAAUCAAUAUCCGUUUCAAUGGGAUUUCUUCCGCAAAGAGGAUUAAAAUUUUGAAAAACCUCUCUUAAAUCCCUUCACUUCCUUGAUUCUACAAUAUUAUCAGAUGUGUGUGAGAACAUCUGUAAUAAGAUGCAUAAACUAAUUCAGUCAAGGAAUGAUCCCUUUCAUAAGGAGGAUUAUCAAAAGAACUGGAACAGGCUAAAGGAGAGAGUUGACUUAGUCUUGAGUGAGCUUCAAAGGUCAUGUUCAGAUGCUCAAGACAUAGCUCAUCAGAAGCUUCAAGAUUGGUUAAGAGGGGUAGACAAUAACUUGCAAGAAGUUAAGAUUCUCAGAACCUGGGUGCAGAGUCCACUAAGCACUACAAGAAAAACUGCAAAUUGUGACACUUCAUCUGCGACCCUUACUUUGCAACUGCCUCAAAGUGCAUUUUUGCAACAUUGUUGCGGCUGUUAGCAUGAACCGUCGCAGAUUUUUUUGGUUAAUUAAUUAGAAGGCGCGUUGUAUAUUUUCAUUCCCCGCUUUACCAAAUUUUCGUUCCCCCCUUUCUUUCUCACUUUCCCAAAUUUUCAUUCCCUCCUUUCUUUCUCACUUUCCCAAACUCGCAAACUCACUCCUUUCUCCAUCUCCAUCUCCAUCGCCAACUCACUCCUCACCAACUCACUCCAUCUCAAUCGCCAACUCACUCCUCACCAACUCACUCCAUCGCAAACUCACCCAUCUCCAUCGUUCACCCUUCGUACUCACUCUUCACCAACUCACUCGCUCCUCACCCCUUCUUCUUCCUUGUUAUGGCUGCAACCAACUCAAUCGAUCUCACACUCCAAACCUAGACACUCGAUUCAGAUUUGUCUCCUUCCCAAACCCUAACCUAGCUUUGAAUCGGUCCAAUCGGUUCUACAAUCGGUCCAAUAGCUGAUUCAUAUUCUUCUCACACCCAAUAUUGCUCAGAUUCCAACUCACUCAGUCCCCAAUCCAUCACCAUUGAUUUUAUUGCUCUGAAAGGUUAGUGAAUUACCUUUGCUAAAUUGAUUUUAUUGCUGCUAAUUUGUGAUUUAAAAUUUUAGGGUUUCUGAUUUGGGUUUUUUGAUUUAUGUAAUCCUUCACCUUUGCUUUAAGUUUUUGAUUUAGAAAAUUUGAUUUGGGUUCUUCUGGUACAGUGAAAAUUGUUUUAAGUUAACAUGUUUUAAGUUAGUUAUGUAAUCCUUCACCUUUACUGGUUUUUAGCCCUGAAUCGUUAGUAUAUUAUUUGUUACACCGCUUACCGUAUCGGCAAAUCUACAUCUCUAUUUCUUUUGUCGUUAGUGGGGAUUGGAGUAUCGGUUUGUUUUGUCGUUAGUAUAUUAUUUGAAUCCCGCUUACCGAGGGAUUGCUUGGUGCGUUAAUUUUGUCGUUAGUGGGGUUGGGAGUAUCGGUUUUGUCUGCUGUGCAGUGAUGUUUCAGCAAUGGCUUUACGGUUCUGGAAGGUGUGCCUGUGAUGUAAGCAUGUUUUGUUUGGCUUUUGCUGUCAUUUUCUGGUGUGGGCUGCUUGUAGAUGGGUUAGGUGCUGCUGUAGCAGUAUAUGAAUCAAUUAUGCUCAAUUAUCUUUGAAUUCUAUUACAUAUCGCUGCAUCUAUGGGUCACCUUCAUUUUGCCACUGAGAUUAUGACGUUGAAACCUUCGUUUGCUUUAAAGCUAAAUCCGCAAGGAUUCAGCCCCAUCCAUCUCGCUAUGCAAAAUGACCAAAAACAGAUGGUGUAUCGCUUUGUAAAAAUCAACAAAGACCUUGUUAGAGUUAUAGGACGAGACGGCUUAACUCCUCUUCAUUUUGCAAGCCAAAUUGGUGAGGUUGAUCUUUUAGCUCACUUUCUCUUCUCGUGUCCAGAAUCCAUUGAAGAUUGGACUGUGAGGUGCGAGACCCCACUGCAUAUUGCUAUUAAGAAUGAACAAUUUGAGUCCUUUCAAGUGCUUGUUGGGUGGCUCGAAAAAAAUAAACGGAGGGGCGCUAAAGAGCGGAAGAGUAGAAUAUUAAACGAGAGGGAUGAGGCAGGAAACACAAUUUUACACAUUGCAGCACUAAGUAGUGAACCACUGGUAGUGCAGGAGCUUCUAUCGUUGGUAAAGACUAAAAUAAAUUUGCACAAAAAGAAUUUGGAGAAUAAAACAGCAUUGGACAUAGCAAGCAUUCCAGAGAUCAAGAGUAUAUUAUUCAGUGCUGGGUCAAAACCAAGCUUAGAAGUCACAGAUGCUCCCUCACCUACACAUUGGCUUAGGUCAAAGACCACACUUAUGGAUAAAUUCUUCUCUCAGAACCUUUUUAGUAGAACUAACAUAACAGGGGAGGAACGUAACGCUUGGUUAGUAGUUGCGACUCUUAUUGCAACUACCAUGUACGAAUCAACUCUGAGUCCCCCUGGUGGAGUUUAUCAGAUUAGUGCUGAUGACAAUAAUUUGAACAUCACUUCCUCCAAUUCUACUAUUUCUACCCUAAAAAAUGUUGGGAAAUCUAUCUUGUCUAAAACUGAUUUCACGACGUUUUCAGUUUUGAAUAUGUUUUCCUUUUUCAUGUCAUUUCUAACAAUAAUUAUUAUGACACCAACUCGGGAGCCAGGUAUUUUUGUGUACCCUGCAAUGUUCUUUUUUCUCAUGUGUUAUAUGACUUCCAUGUCUGAGAUAUCCCCCGCAAGUGUCGACCCCAUGAAUGCUCAAGCGACUUUCGUUUUUACUUCUCUGAUGUUUGGUUUUGUUAUAAUUAUGAAGAUCACACUUAAAAGUUAAAACUAUGAUGUAAAAGGAGUUAAAACCUUGUGGAUUAGAGAUAGAUCACUAAUUAGAUCUGCAACUCAAACCAGUACUGCUGGCCGAAUUCAAAGACUACUGUAUCAACGUCAAUUUCUAAAUUUUCAUUUUGAUUGUUUUCAUUUGUUUUUGUUCAAUUUUAGGAAAUUGUGAGUCAGUGUAUUAAAUAUUUCAAUCAUUUCUUGUACUAUUUUAUUGAAUUUAUGUCUCUAUUAAAUAUGGUUUUGAAGAAGGUUGAUUAUUCAAGAUGAAAUGUGUGUUUUUUCUUCUAGCUUUGUGCUUUUCGUAAGAAACAAUGACGAAUUUUCAUUAAAAUUAAUGUUGAAAUUUCUACCAUACUCCACCUAUAUUAUUGAUGUCAAUGGAUUAACGUAACGACGAAUGAGUGUUUUAGUCUUGAAAUUUCUACCAUACUCCACCUAUGUUUGUAUUUUUUAAUAAAUAGUUGUUAAUAGCUACUAUUUUUAAUUACGGCACAUGUUAGACAAACCCAUAAAUUUAUGCUCAAUUAUCUUUGAAUUCUAUUAGUCUUUUAAUGUUUAGCAACUCAUAGAGUUAUUGUUCUAGUAAAAAAUAAAGUCAAGAACUAAUUUGAAUAACAAGUUAAUUUAUUCCUGAGCACUAGGUUAGGAGGCAUGUCACAUUCUGUUAGGUGCUGCUGCUACCAAUUCAAUCAACUUUGAUUGAAUUGCUUUGGUACGCUGUACUACUUUCUUUUAAUUUGUUUUAAUUAAAGUUCAUGUUGUUGCUUCUGUUAGGUUCUGCUGCUAUCAAUUCAAUCAACUUUGAUUGAAUUGCUUUGGUACGCUGUACUACUUCACGCUGUAAUGGUCAUUGUCGCAGCUGCUCUUUUAUUUAUUUUUUAAGUUGCUAUCUGAUAACAGGUUCAGUUCUUUCGUUAUUUAUUAGGUUUCUAUUUAGUAUGAACUCAGUAGAAGUAAAUUUAGUGUUUGAUUUACUUAUGUCUGAGUAGUCUAACUUGUGCCUACUUUUGUGUAGCUCUCUGUUCUGCACGCUAUUGGUUUUUUAAGUCUGCUGCUAUUUAUGUAAGUCUUUUUUCCCUUCUCUUUUUUUAUCUUUGACUGUUCAGUUUGCACAUUUUUCCGAUAUGUGCUAUUACUUGAAUUGUUAUUCAUUGUGUUGUAAAAUGGGGAUAUAGAUUAUGUCUUAUCAAUUUUCUUCUGUUUGGUGUUUUUUGUGAUGGUUGUAUAAACUUGUUCUAAAAUAUAAUUACACCUAGCUGUGAUUUUCCAAACUACAUACUGUAAUCACACUACUUCUAAGUACACUUUACUUUUUUAGUUGGUUGUGUGAAUCAUUUUUCAUGAAUAUUUGUAUUGUUUUGACUUGUUUAUGUUCAUGUUAAAGCAAUGGAUAAGUCAUGGAUUAUGAAGCCACAAAUGUCGGCUGCAUACGAGCAAGGGAUAGCGGAAUUUAUUAAUUUUGCCUUUAAAGACGAAGUGGAAAAUGGUGAAGUAAUAUGCCCCUGUAGAGUUUGCCGUUUCAAAAAACCGCAAAGUAGGAGCGUAAUGUUGGACCACCUAAAGUGGUCACCAUUUCCAAAGGGCUACACUGUUUGGCUGCAUCAUGGGGAGUCCUUGGGAGAAACUAGUAGUGUCUCAACUAGUACUAUUCCAAAUAUAGGUCAAGACACGGUGGUUGUUGAAGAUCCUAUUCAAAACAUGAUCAAUGAUACGUUUGGAGUUGAUAGGGAUCAGACAAAUGAGGAACCCAUUGCAUCAAAUGUAGAGAUUAAUCGAGAUGAAGAUGUGAUACCAAGUCUAAGUGAAGAAAGGAAUGAAGCCAAAGAAUUCUAUGAAUUAACUAGAGAUGCAGAACAACCUUUGUAUGAAGGGUGUACAAGAUAUUCAAGAUUGUCUUUUUUGUUAAAGUUGUAUCACAUCAAGUGUUUGUGUGGGUUGAGUGAUAAGUCGUUGACAAUGAUUUUAGAGCUAUUAAAGGAUGCAUUUGAAUUUGCAAGUAUUCCAAGUUCGUUCUAUGAAGCAAAGAAAACAAUUACAAAACUUGGUAUGAAUUAUGUGAAGAUACCUGCAUGUCCCAACGAUUGUAUGCUUUAUUGGGGUGAAGAUGAAGAGAGGGAGACCUGUAAAAUUUGUAACACUUCAAAAUGGAACCAGGAUAAUGACUCGAUGGAAUGAUGUUCCUCAACCGGUGGGGAAAUCUGCUAAAUUGUUAGCAAAUUAUUUGGGCCAAUUGGCAAGGCAAUUUAAAGAUUUCCCGAUAAUGGUUGAAAGAUGGGAUGCUGCAAUUUUAAAGAAAAAGAAAACUGAGUUUUAUAAUAGCAAAGUAAAGGUAUAAUUGAUACACAUUUGAAUAUAUAUGAUUUUUUUUGUUUUUUGUGUUAACUAACAAUUUGCUUUUUUAUGUUUAUGUUGUAAGUCAAAGUUUGUUGUUGAUGAUGAUGGAGACCAUAAAAAAUAUGUUAUCUCUAGCCUUGGAAAGAAAUGGAGGGAUGGAAAGUCUCGAUUGUUUAAUAAACAUUACAAAUGGGAACUCACAUUAGAGGAGAAUCUCAAAAAUAGUCCAAGUUUUAUUCACCCAGAUCAUUGGGCUGUUUUUGUCAAUUUUAGGAGGAAAGCUGAACAAGUGGUAAUUAUGGUUUCAUUUUUUUUUUUUAAGCUUUUAACUGAUGCGUGUAUAAAAAUUAUUGUUUCAAUUAAUGCAGGCGAUUGCACAAAAAAAUGCAAGAAAUCGGGAAAAGCAAAAAACUCCUCAUACCCUAGGAACUGACUCGCUUGCGAUCAGAAAAGAUGAGUUGGUAUGGUUCACUCACAGAUGAGUUUAUCUUUGAUAUGUUGCUUUUUUGUGUAUGCAAUACUCUGUAAUUGGUGAUCUCAUCUGGACGUACAUUAUAAGAUUGUUUGGAAAUGAACGAGUAAUUAUUAUAUGUGCUUACUUGUAGGAAUUGAGAUAUGGUCGAGAAUAUAGCAGGGGAGAUAUGUAUGCUGUUUCGCAUAAAGAUGCCAAGGGAAAAUUUGUCAAUGAAUAUGCAAGGCAAAAAGCUGUAAGUGACAAUUUCUUUUCUGCACAAUUGAAAAAGAGGUCAUAAUACCUCAUAGCUUGCCUAAAAUGAAAUGUUUACAUUAUCACUGUAUUAUUGCCUAAAGAGGUCAUAACAUUGAAAGUUUAUAUUUUAUUUAAUUUAUGAAAUGUUUGACAUUAUCACUGUCAAAAUUUGUUGAUGUUCUGUUUUAUUUAAUUGUUUCAUGAACUGUUGUAUGUUGUAUAUGCAGGAACUAUUGCAAGUUGAAAUGCAAAACACUCAAUGUGAGAAUGAAGCAUUUUUCAAAGUGUUUGGAAAGGAACAUGCUGGAUAUGUCCGUUCUAUGGGGCUUGGGAUAACACCAUCUCGAAUCUCUAGUCACUCUACUAGAUCAGCCUCAUCUUCCAUCGAGGCUAAUGAGAAAAUGUUGAAAAUGCAAGCUGAGAUUGAUUCUCUUAAGGAGAAGGCUUCACAAGUUGAUUUCUUGAAGGCGCAAGUUGCUUUUUUAAUGCAAAUGCAAGUGCAAAAUUCUAGAGACAAAGAGGUAACUUUUACCAAACUAUUGCAAAAACAUCUUCUCUUUUAAAAAUAAAAUUAUAAUUUGAUAUCUGCAAGAGUCCUUAGACUUGUCUUUGUAUAACUGCUAUGACCGGCUCAUUUUUGUCACUACUGAAUGUUGUGUUUUUACUUGUAUCUUGACAACUCUGAUGCUUUUUUUGAGCAAUACAAGUACUCGAAUAUUGUGCCAUUUAUCGAUAUAUUUGAUAUCUCUGGUGUUUUUUUUUCUUUUCAGUUUCAAUAUUUUGCGUUUCAAUUUACUACUCAUUAUCUUUUUUUUUUUCUUCUUUUCAGCCAACAAAUUUAGAAACAAGAGAUGGUAGACAUUCAUCUGAGUCUAGCCACCGCCUUGAGGAUCAUUGAAGCAACAUCACUAGGGAACUUCUAAUUUUGCUACAGCUGUUUUGUUAUGGACUUCUAAUUUUGCUACAGCUGUUUUGAAUGUUCAGUCACUAGUGUUUCGUUUUUUGAAUGUUUAAACUUGGCACUGCAUAUAUUUUGUUUUAGUUAAGUUGAUGUAUGGAUCAAACUUAAUUAUGUAUAUUUUGCAUUUUAAGUCUUUAGUAAUAUAUUUUGAGAUUGUCUUCAAAUUCUACAGAAAUUUUUUUAAAUCAGGGCAAAUUAAAUUAUAUUGAGAUUGUGACUUCUAAAAAAAAUAAAAAAAAAUUAUAUACAUUUGCGGCAGUUAGCAACCGUUGCAAGUCCAUUGAAAAAUCCAUGUGAAUCUCUUCGUUUGCGACGGUUGGCAAGUGUCGCAGUGCCUUUUGUGGCAGUUGGUGCGGCUGUUCUAUGAAGGGUCGCAAAAGUCACUUGCGACCCCAACAUCCGCGACGGUUGGGGAACAGCCGCAAUUGUGCAUUUGCGACCCUUGUAACCGUCGCAAUCAGCAAUUUUAAAUGUCGCAAAAUGCAGUUUUUCUUGUAGUGAAGCAUAAGAGAAAGGAAUGCCACAUACUUCAUUCCUACAGGAGUGCACCCUAAGGAACUCAAUCUGACCUUCCUGCAGAGGAUUAAUUUUCAUUCUACAUCCUCUGAGCUAGCCCUGCUGCAAAGGAACGCAGAACUUGAGGCUGAAAUCAAGAAGCUUAGAAAGGAAGUGCUAGAACAAAAGCUAUUGCUAUUGAAAUACAAGUCUACAUCUGAAGCACAACUGGAAGAAGCUAGGACCAGAGAAGAAUGGUUAAUCAAGAGCAAUGAAGAGUUCAAGCAAGAAAUGAACAAGAAGGCAGAUGAAACUCAAAAGAUGAUGCAACAGAUGAUGGAGAUGAUUCAAAGACAAGCCCAACCCUAGUGGCACACAUAUUUAGCUUGUUUAGUUUUAUCUCUUAGUUGCCUUCUGCACUUUUUCAUUUUGCUUGUGAAUUUACUCUUCAGAGUUAUAUUGCUUCUAAACUUCUUAUUUGCUCUGAUAUAUAUAUAUAUAUAUAUAUAUAUAUAUAUAUAUAUAUGCAUGUUUUAUAUUUCUUCUGAAUGUAGUUAAUUGCGGAAUUUCUCACUAUUUUUCUCAUCUCUUUCUUUUUGUCUUUAAUUUUUAUACUUUCUGUUGCUGACAAAAGGGGGAGUAGAUGUAUAGUAUUUAUAGGCUCUGAGCCCGAUUAAUUUAAUUCUAAUCAAGUUAAAUUAAUAGGACCUUAUUCUAAUCUCUUAGUCUUUUAAUGUGAGAUUAUUCUGAGUGUUAUUACGCUUUUAAUGAUGAAUUUAAUUAACAUGGAUAGAACUCAAGGGGAGCUUACAAACCUCACCUUAAAGUAUUAUUGGACUCAGGGGGAGCUUACAAACCUCAUACCCUAAUAGUCAACAUGUUAAUUAGAUUAACAACAAUUGAACAUUUUAAAUACUAUGGUUUUUCAUCAUCAAAAAGGGGGAGAUUGUUGGAACAAAAUGUGUUUAACAUUAACCCUUAAGAGUUUUGAUGAUAACAAAGUAUUAAAAAUUGUCAAUUGGAUAUGCUAAUAAUUGUUCAAGUGUACAGGACUAUAGACAAAAUUUGAUAUCUUAAAAAGGUCUUGGAAGAACAAUAAAGAGCAAAGGAAUCAACAAAAAGGGAAGCUUAAAGUGUCUGAAGAAAACUGCUCCUGAAGUUAAAGCGCUCCUGAAGACACAGUGCUUCUGAAAUGAUGACGUCAUCAGAAGCAAGGUGAUCAGAAGCAAGGUCAUCAGAAGCAAAGUCAUCAGAAGCAAGUUUAUCAGAAGCUGAGAAUCACCAGAAGCUGUAGUUCAUCAGGAGAUGCAACUUAAAGCUUCAAAAGUUGUUUAAUGGAAUCAAACUCGUCUAAAGAUUGCAGAAGACUGAGAAAGUGAAGCAACGACUAUUUUGAAAGGAUUUGAAGGCAUUGGAUGCUUAUUCGUCAAAGAGCGUUGACAAAGUACGUUUGUACGAAGUGUACAACCACUACCUCCACUACUCUGUUUUUGUCUUUGCUACAAGACAAGAAAAACAGCUAUGCCUGCAACAAUGUUCCUUCACAAUGGGAAUGCAUUUGAAAUUGAUCCUUCAUAGGACAAUAACCAUAUCAGGCAAAGGAUCAUUGGUGACUGAUCAAAAGCUUCAAACGACUCUAUUUUGAAUGUGCUGGCAAUUCAACGUCUCUUUUCACACCUUUAUAUAAAGGAGUGAAGACUCAGAGUUAAAUAGAACAAUACCAAGAAUUAACAGUGUCAAAACUCUGCUGAAAUUGUUCUGCAUUCAAAGUUCACUUAGAAUUUCUUAUCAAAGCUUAUAUCUUAGAAAUUCUAUAGUCUUUAGAGUCAGUAUCUGAUUUGUAUUUUGAACACCACUGAUUGUAUAUCAAGUGUUCAACCUCAAACAUUUUUCUUGUAAUUCUGUUUGAAUUGAGAAGUCUCUUGCAGUUGUGCUUGAGAAAUAGAAGUCUCUUGAUUAUGUUCAGGAGCAUAGGAAGUCUCUUGCAGUUGUGCUUGAGCAUUUGAAGUCUCUUACUAAGUUUAGUAGUGAGAAAUUGCAAUCAGAUAUUACUUUUUAGUGAACUCUCCUUGGAAGUGCAAGGGGGACAUGACUGACUUCCGGUUUGUGGAAGGAACAUGUAUAAAUUGCUUUGUGUCUUUCUUCCUUCUCUCUCUGUUUUUAUCCGCUGCAAAUAGUUCUGAACAUCACUUCAGAAGCAGAACUCUAUCUGCUCCUGAUCAGUGAUUUCAGUUAGGAGAAAAAGAAGAAAAAGCAAACACAAUUCAACUCCCUCCUGAUCAGUUUUUAUCAUUUAAUGCAGUCAAAAUAGGUUGAUCUUAUCAUCGAAGAAAUUGUUUUCUCAUUCCUAUCGAAGUUGGACUUGAUAAAAAUACUCGAAAGCGUGUGUUUUAGUUCGACAGGCGGAAAGUUAUCGAAGGACAGUUUUUUGUUGUGGUUCAGAUAAGGUCAAGCAACAGAUAUUUUCAAGACACAUUCGAAAUUCAAAUCGAAUGGAUAAGUAUCGUUAGUUUACUGCAGUUAUAGUUUUAAAUUCAAAUCUAGGCAGUAAUUUCUAUUUGUAUAAAUAGUAGUUUUCCCUAGGGAAAAAAGAUCACAAUUCUAUCAUACAAAAAACUUACACUCAAAUUAUCCGCAUGGAAGAGAGCAACGAGUCACAAGUUGCAAUGUAUGAACAUGUGUACCAAUUUACAUUCAAUCAAUACAAUUUAAGUUCAUUUCCUUAAAAGUCUUUGCAAUUUACAAUUUACUUGUUUCUUUUGAGCAAUCAUUUAUCGUUAUUUACACCGAUUUCGAUUGGGUUCAACUGGGUUGAAUUCGAUUACCUUUUUACUUUCUUUUACUUAUCAGGUUCUUCAAGAAUAACAUUAAAUUUCUAGAAAAUAACAAACACAAUAUGUCCUUAAGAUUUCCUAGUUGAUCUUGCAAGUAAAUAUUUUUAAACCAGCGGUUGUUUACCAAAAAUCAGUGUAAACACCCGCCUAUAUAAAUAAAUAAUGAAGUAUAAAAUGUAAGUUUUGGAAACCAAGUCAAAACACAAAAACAGCAAAAAAAUCACUUGAAAGCAACAAAAUUCAUAACAAUCAAAUACUUUCUUGAUUACUCAUUAGUAUCGGUGAUGGACAAACCUCUUUCUAUCAUACAAGGUAAAAUACUGAUAAACACAAUCAUAAAUCUCUAAGGGGUAAACAUGAAAAACCAAUUAAUGAUUUAUUCCACCAAUUGAGAGAAAACUUUUCUUGUAAAUUGCAAGAUCAUAAAAAUGCGCUCCUUUAACACCAAGUUCUUCAGUCUUCUGAGUACUUAAACUGAAACAGACUAGCUUACCAUCUUUUUUUUGGAAGAAUAUAUCACCAUUCUUUCCCGCUCCAAUAAGACGAUCAAUGUAAGGAAGUGGUCCAACAACAAAUAGUUUAGUCCAUGAUUCUUUCACGCCGAGUUCACCCAAAAUUGAUAUGUAAAAAAUAGUUUUAUCUAAUAAAUACCAUGAGAUCGAAGCAAUGGAUCUAUUAAGCACCACCAAUCGUCUAUACACAAAACCAAGAUGAAAAUUUGUAUCUAUGUCUAACGGUAUGUCUAUAGGUAUGGUUGUCGUAAAAAACAUCUCGUUGCUCAAAUCAAAUGAAACUAAAAGAUGUUCAUCACAAUUUUCACUUACAGACCACCAAUGAGACAAUCCAUCAAUGUACAAUGGUUCAUAUGAACCACUACACCAACGCUUAGGCAUAUUAACAUCAUGUUUCUUCCAAGAGUUGCACCUUAGGCUGUAAAUCUCCCACUCAGGUUCAUAGGAUAUUUCAUUCCAUGACACAUCUUCAUGUUGCACAUUGAGACGUUUAAGACGCCCACUACUUAUUGGAGUAAAUUGUAUAUACCUAAUAAUCUUAAAGUCAUCUUUAAUAUAGUCAUAACCAAAUCCAUGAACAUCAACUGAAGCCUCACGAUAAGGUGGGACAAACUCAAUGGGACUGAGUGGAAUGACCUUGAAUUCAUGGGUAGUUAGGUUCCACAAUGAAAGUGUGUUUCGUUGUUUUAGACAAAGAGUUCCAGUAAAAGUAUCACACCCAUAAAAAUCACAAUUAUAAAAAUCACUAAAAGGGUUGUCCUCUUGAAAUGGAUUUGGAAAGUCUAAUUUGACUUGAUUCUCAUACCUCUCAUCAGAAAGUAAAUAGAAAGAACAAUGAAGAGAAUAAUCCAGACAUUCCACAGCCUCAUAUAAGAGGAGCGAAGUACCAUCGUAAUAAGAGUGAGGAAUAGAUAUGAAAUUAGUUUGGAAGCAAGGGUUUUCUAACAAGAGAGCCCAUGUUUUUCUUACGCAUCCAAAUCGCUUCAAAGGUUUUAAAGAAAGUUUUGACAAAAUAGAGAAUACAAGAUCAUCGGGUAUGUGAUUUCUAACCUUUUUUUCACCUUGAGAUUUGGCCGCCAUCUCCGAAAAUGUGGGAGCAAAAAGAUGAUGAAUUAGAAUUUCGUUGUAAGCGAAACUGGCUUUGUAGUUAGCAGUGUUUUUAAACUAAUGAGAUUGUCUUUAAAAUACUAAAAGAUACUUAAUUGCGAAGUAAAUGUAUUGUGAUUUUUAACUUUUUUACACCAAAAAACAUUAAAUUUUUAUAUUUUAUUUAUAGACACGUUUAAUCACUUUAAAACUUUAAUAAGAAUUAACAUUGUAACCAAAAAAGAAGAAGUAACAUUAAUAAGUUGGUCCUUUUUAUUCAAAAAAAAUUAAUAAGUUGGUCCUUUUAAAAAAACAUUAAUAAGUUGGAUUUUGCAUUUCCUAUUUUACACGCGCCAUGCACGGGUAAAUAUAUACUCCCUGUGUCUCUUAAAUAAAAUUAUUUUACAAAAAUUAAAGGUAUUAAGAAAAGUUGUUGGGGUAAGAAAUUGUCAAAAAGGGUGUAACCAUUUUUCAAUUUCCCUUUAUGUAUAAAUGGAUUUAAUAUUGAUAUUUCAUCUUUCAAGACAAUUAGUAGUAUUAUAAGGGGUAUAGUUGGAAACACCAUAAAAAAAGGUAUAAUUGAAAAAAGAAUAAUAAAUGCAUCUAGAUGGUCUUAUAUGUAGAAAAAUAAAUAAAUGGUAUUAUAAUUAGAGACGAAAAGUGUAUCAAAGAAAAUGAAGUUUUGGUUCUUAGUUUUUAAUUUUUAUUUUUGUUUCCCUUUUUUCUUGAAUUUGGUUUUUUUUUUUUUUAAAACAAAAGUAGUGGAAAACAUCACCAAUAUAUUAUAAACAAAAAGCGAGAGUACAAAAUAGGGAGAUUAGGCCAAAACCUCUUUAAAAAGUGACAAACCUAAAAUUAGGCAGUCCCAAUCUAUUCCUAAUGUACUUAGAUCUGAUGAGUAAAGGAACAUCAUAUUCCAAAUAUCCACAGUAUGGGGGCCAAAGAGAUGACUAGAAAAGCUAAUUUAUCUGCUCAAAAUUUCCCUAAAAAGAUAUGAGUGACCAUGAAGUUCAUUGUUUGAGUGAGAAACAAGUAGUUAAGCUAUAUGUUUCUUAGUGAUCAAGGAACCAGAGAUGGGUUAGUGAAAGGUAACAUUACUAAUUGUGAAUCAGUUUCUAACCAAAAGUCAUUCCAAACUUUUUUUCUAGCAAGCUCAAUUGUAAACAUAACUACAAAGAGUUCUGCAUAAAGAGUUAAACCUGGACCCAAAUGUUGAGCAAGCAAUAUAGGCAAGUACCUUAAGAAUUAUGAAAUCUUCCCCCAACAGAAGCAGCAAAUGAAUUGCUGAUUGAGGUACUGUCAACGUUACCUUUGAUCCAGUGUAAGAUUGGAGGAGACCAAAUAAAUUCCUUAAUAAUUGAUCUUCUAGGAGGGUGUUGUUUGCCUGUAAUUUCAACAGGCUCAAUUAAUGCAGUCAAUGAGGUUUUUUAGCAUAAAACUUUCGACAUGGUCUGAGACUUAGCAUCUGGAAGAAUUCAAGAUCUUUGAAGUUACGUUCGACAAGAGGUAGUUCAGAGAGAAGAAUGGUCGAAGCCAAGCAGCUGUUGUCGAAAGGAAAAGAAUUCAAAUUCAAAAGCAGUAGUUUCUUGUGGAGACGUGGGAGACAUGCAGUUUUCGGUCGAGGAAGUGCAGCUCGUGUCAGUUUAGUAUUUUUUAGUUAUUUCUUCUAGGUAUAAAUAAUAGUUUUUCAUAUGAAAAAUUGGUCGCAAAUCAUUUAUAGAAUUCUAGCACUCAAAGUACUAGCGUCUAGAGAAAAGAGUCAUACAGAAUGUAUGUAAACUGAUUUGUCAAACCACCUUUACGUUGAAAUGCAAUGCAAUUUACAUUUCUAUAAGUUUCUGUUUUUGAACUUUUAAGUUUUCUUACUUGCAUUUUUCUUUAUUUCUUUCUGUCAAAAGACAUUUACUUUCAUACAAAAUAUCGUUGUAUUCAUAAAGCAACCUAUGAAUAUGAUGAACACUCAUGUAUUUUCUGGAAAAUGAUUGCACAAUAUGUCAUAGGAUUUUUGGUUUGAUCCUACUUGUAAUUAUCAAAACUAGCUCAGUUGUUUACCAAAAACAUCGGUAAAGAGGUGUAUGUCAACUCUGAAAAAUUUCAAGAUGGAGAAUUCAGACAUGUUGAUAAAAUGCAGCCUUAGAUUUGUUGCCAGAAAUGGCCACAUGAGAGAUUCAGGAAUAUAUUGAUGGCAUGAUUUUUAGUUAAUCAUCUCAUUUUUCGAUCAUUUUUUAUGAUGUGGCAACAUUUAUUAGAGUGCCCUGGAUAUUCAUAUCAACACAAAUUUGUCUAAUAAUCUCUUCCUUGUCAUAAAUGUUAUUAGAUCACCCUGAAUACUUAUAUCAACAAAAAUUUAUCUAAUAAUCUCUUCCUUGAGAUAAAUGAAUAGACCUCUCUUUGGCCUCUUUAAAAAAAUAGAUUGCAUUUUUUUAGAUAAACAAAAUGACAAAGUCGUUAUAAAGUCACACACACAAAAUGGAGGAGCCGGGUUCAAACCCCGAUCAUGAUAUUCGGCUUAAAAAUUUUGGUAUUUUUGCUAGUUAAGUUAUGACUUGUGGACAUUUAAACCUUAUUGAAAUCAUGAAAGAAAAGAAAAGAUUCUCAAAUACACACUGUAAGUUUUUUUUUUUUUUAUUCCUUAAAGUGGUGUCAAUCUCACUUGUAUAUUUUAAUUGUGAGAGUAUAGAGAAUGGAGCGAGUUGAUGGUAAUUUUACGGGAUUGAUUUGUUGAAAGAUUUGAAGAUUUUGGAGUAAGAUAUUACCAAAAAACUAGAGCCGUUAAAAAAAAUGGUACAUCAAUUUAAGCGUAUAUUUUUUCAUCUUAGUAGAACACGUCUGGAUAUUUCCAUAGUCAGAUUCUACCAAAGACCAAAGUCAAGAUAUUUGAAAUAAUGGAGGUUGAAUGAAAAAAAUGAAAGCGAAUGACAUCCAAUAACUAAAAUUUAAGAUAAAAAAUUAAACAAAUGACAUUCAAAAACUAACAAAUUAAAGCAAUUCAUCAUAAUUUUGGGACUUCCUAAGGAUCGUACUUAGUUUGAUCACCACAUUAGGUUAAGAGAAACCACACAAGUGAGAUUGAUAUCACAUCUUAAUAAAAAAAAAACUUAAAACAUUAGGUAUACGGGUCAUCUCACUUAUAUGUUGUUCAAAAUGUAAUCUUCCAUCCAAUAUAUAACUUUAACUCACACUUAAUACAUUAAUAUCUCUUAAUCAAGUGUGAAACUCUUUGCGUCCGUAAUUACAUAUAGUCAAAUAUAGUCAAACAACGCAUAACAUAUUCAAAAAGUUGGUUGGUGGUGGUUUUGUGGAGGGGGGUUUAUUUUCCUUUCUUUCAUGAGAAGACAGAAAGGCAAUUAGAAGGAAACAAUGUAUGUUAAAAAGAAAUUUGAACAUGAGAGAAGAUAAGGGAAAAAUAAGUAUUAUGUGUUUUAUUCGUGAGAGUAUAUGAAACAGUGCGAGUUGUCGGUAAUUUGAUGAGUUUGUUGAAGGAGUUGAGAUUUUUGAGUAAAUAUUUUACCAAAAAAAUAAGAUUCAAUUAAAAACAACGUCACAUAAUUGUAAAUCUCUAAUAAUCGUGUAUUUUGUCAACUCAGCAUAACACAUAUACAAUUUUUUAUUAUCACUUGCCACCAAAAACCAAAAGAUAAUAAAUUUGAAAUAAUAGAGGUUAAGUAAUUCACAUUAAAGAUAAUGACAUCUAAAAACUAAAUUUAAAGAUAAAACAAUUAAACAAAUGACAUCGAAAAACUAAAAAAAAAAAUUCAUCAUAAUGUUGUGACUUUCGGAAGAUCAUACAUUGAAUUUGAUUAUCACAUUACAUUAAAAGAAUCCACACAAGUAAGUUUGACACCACAUCUUCACCUAAACCAUGCAUAAAGUUAUGAUACCAGUGUGGAACUUUUAUGUUGCUCAACAUUCACUCUUGCAUCCAAUGUGAAACUUGUAUGUUGCUCAACAUCCACUCUUGCAUUCAAUAAUAUGAUACUUUAACUCAUAUUUGACACAAUAACGUUUCUCCCUAAAUUAUGAAAUUUUCUAUAUCUGAGAUCUACCACCAGGAACCACUUCUGCUUGCACAGAAAGUAACCGGAUUGUGAUACCACUAUUGAACCUUAUAGGGUAUUGAAGAAUAGACCCAUUGGACAGAGAACACCACACAAAUCAGAAUGAUAGCAUAUUUUCAUCCAAUAUUGAAGAAAUUAUAACCAUUACUUGACACGGGUAUCCAUAGUAGUAAAAAUAUAGAAGAGAAUAACAAAAUCCACAUAAUGUAAAAUUCGGUUGUGUUAAGAAAUUGGUAAAAAAAAAUUAUAAACAAUUGAGAGCUUUCCUACAUACAUAAAAUUAAAUGAAAAAUCUCUCAACUUCAUUCUAAGCAAAGCUUGCCUAAAUGGCACUCUAUUAACAAUCCUACAAUUUUCAAAACAAUUCAAAUAAAAUAAAAUUAACAUGGUUAUGAAUAUUAAGGUAAUCGUAUGUUGAGUGGAUUGUUUGGAGGGAAAGAAAUGCUCAGGUCUUUCGUGAAAAGAGACCUCUUUACAAAAAAAAAAAUCGACAGUAAACUUCAAUCUUAUUGAUGACUGAAAGCGAAUCGGACUAAUUAUGAUCUUACUUAUCACAUGUGGUGGCUUAAUCAUUUAACUUGUUUGAGAAUCAUUUUCUAAUUAGGAUGCUUAAGCCUAUUUUCAUUUCGCUUUUCUUUUGGUCACUUGAUGUAACUUGAUACUUUCUUUCCUGUUUUUUCAGCUGAAAUUUUCAUGAUUUUGAGUCAAUAUAUUCCACUUUAGUUUCUUUAAAAAAAAGGUAGUCUUUUGUCAUUGAUUUUCUCUUAAAUGACAUUGAUUUCUCACUUUAAUUUUUUUUCUUCCAUUUUUCACAAUAUAAAUCAACCUUCCAACACUAUGUUCUAGUUGUUUUUAGUGAGAGAAACUCCAACUUCUCUCUAAGUUUUUCUUCUCUUUCACUCAUCGAGGAGGGGUGGUUUUAGGUCAUUCUUUGACCUAAAAUUACCCCUCUGCAUCUUUUUUCCCCUUUAUAUGGAUCUAAAUAAGUGAUUUUCACAAAUAUCAAGCGUUUUCUUUUGUGAUUUUUUGUAAUUUUGUCGUCUAAGUGCAACCUUGUGUUGUUCGUCGUCUUGUGCGGCGUAGUUUGAUUUGACAUCUUGUUGCGGUGUUCGUUGGUUCAUAUUGAAAGAUCAAGUUCAGUCAAUCACAGAUUCAAUCAAUGAUUUGGACGUCAACGUUGCAGAUCCAGAAGCAAGAGUAUUCUGGUGAUUUAGAUUAUAUCAUAUUAUUUGUAGGCAUUUUGUCGUUGUAUGCUAUUAACUUGGGUGCUGUGAGUUUGUUCGCAGAUUCAUCCUUUACGUUUUUAGCGAUCUUUUGAUUCUGAUGUAUUCUAUCAAUUUGAAUGAAUAAAUAUCAUUUUAUUUUUGUCAAAAAAUAAAUAAAUCAACCUUCCAACUUUCUUUCUUCCUUCAUUUUAUUUUCUGCAUUAUUUAACUAUUUGUUCAUCUCAUGAUCUAAUUUUCUCUCACUUCUUUCUUUUUCAGAAUAAUUUUUAUAUGAACUACAAAGGGAAAACCAAAAGAAAGUGUGUGAGGGUGAAACCAAAAGAUUAUUUUCACAUCAUCAUAUUUUUUUAUACUUAAAUGAAUCAUACAUGGUAUAUCAAUGCUAUAACAUAAUUUAUUAAUAGCAUCACAAUAGAGCUCACAUAAAAUAAAAAAAAUAAAAAAAUAAUUCACAUCCAUUCUCACUGUAGUGUUUCUUCAUCUAUUUUCCCUUUGUUCAUAUUUUGUCUUCAUUCACAUAUUUAUUUUGUUACUAAAAGAUCAAUUUGUUUAGUUGAUGUUUAAAAUUGGUUUACAAAGCUAGGGAAAUAUAAAAAAUUAUUGAAACAAAAUAAUUAUUAUUAAGGAUUGUAGUUUUAUAUUUGUUAUCAGUGCCAUGGUAUAUCAAUGCCUAACUUUGCAUUGUAAAUCUAAUUUUAUAGAAAGGUAGAGAACAUGAAAAUUAUGUAAUUUUUUUACUAAAGGUGGAGGGAUGGAGCAGCUGACGGCCAUAAAAGUGGUGGUGGCGGCUAGGGCUAGGUUUGUAAAGGGAGAGAGAAAAUAUGAGGACUAUAGAGAGAGAAAGGCUUUUUGGUAGAAAACUCAGAAUAAACACUAGUUAGUUUUAGUUGUUCGGGCCCAAUUUCCUAUCAUCGGAAAACCUGUCAAAUAGGAUUUUGCUUACUUGGACAACCUUAAAAGAAACAGAUGCUUUAGAACUUUGAACAUUUGAAAUAAUUCUCACAUGUAGAUCUGUCAAAACGGGCGGCCCGGUCCUAACGGGCUUCGGGUUUUAUCGGGUCGGGCUCAAAAGCCCGGUUGAUAAAACGGGUUUGAAGUAUACUACCCGAGCUCGGCCCUACACGGGCCGCGGGCUUAACGGGCCGGCCCGUAUUAAAAAUUAUAUAUAUAUUUUUUUUAUAAAAAAAGUACUAUAAAUACUCCUAUAAAUUUUUUUUUAUAAAUAAUAUUUUUAAUAUGUUUAAAUAAUGCUUAGAACAAAAAUAAAUUGUAAACAUUUUAGUAUAAACGUCGUAAACUAAACGGCGAGGAAAGCAAUUUUAAAUAAAUUAGAUACGUUAUGGUUAUAUAUAUUUAUAUAUUCGAUCUUUAAAUUUAUAAAUAAUGAAACGAGUAAAUAUAAUUUUAUAUUACAUGUAUAUUUGUGUUAAUUCAUUGAAUUUUCACUUUUAUUUAUUACUUUGAUAAUCAACUAAGUAUAGAAUUAUUUGAAAAAUAUAUAUAGUUUAUAGGAUUUUUUUUUUGUUAUGCGUGGUACCGGUGGAUUUAAGUUAUCCCUCACUUCUAAUGAUGGCCAAUCUUUGUUAAGUUGAUCCUCUCCCACUUUAUAUACCUGAUCAAAUAAAAAAAUAUAUAUAAUUUACAUUUUUUAGAUCAUGGUAUAAUCUAUACAAUAUACAAAAAAAAAAAAUACUAAUAAUAGUUAGACAAGUUAUUUUGAUCCAAUUAAACAAGUUUUGUCCGAGGAGAACACAUUUUCGUAACUCGGAGUGUUUCUUGCUUGGCCAAAAACCAUGAAGGGUGAAGUUUAUUGGCAGUGAUGCGAUACAUUUUUUACCCUUAUAAGGUGCAUCCUUGCAAAAUGUCGGUGGCCAUGUUUCAACCAACAUAAAAUGAUCAAAUGAAGGUAAAACUGGAGGAGGUGGUGGUAAUUGAGGAGGUGGUGGAGACCUUAACCUACUUCUUCCAAGUGUUUCCGCAUAAAAGACGCGGAUCAGAUGGAAGAGGGUCAGCAGCCAACCCAACAUUACAUGAAAGAGCAAGAAUGACUAAUAUAGUUGAAAUGGUGUUGGACAUAAUCAUAGGAAUAGCUAGUAUACUUAGGUAUUUUGAAGGUUGGGAGUUUGUGAUUUUGCUAAACUUCCUAGCAAGUCAUUUUAUAGGUAGCUAGUAUAGUCAUAGUCAUUUUGGUUAAAGAAAUAAACAACAAUUAACUCGAGUUAACAAGUUUUUAAAAAAAUUAAUAGCAGUAAUUAAAACCUUAAUUAGAUGAAAACAAAUAAUGGAAAAUAAAAACACUAUAAUCUAAAUGUGUCAAUUUUGUAACACUAAAUUAUCAAAAUGCAACACUGCUACCUUGCCAUUUCGUCGAAUUGGAUGAGCGUUAUUUUUUACAACACUGCUAAGUCUAAGUGGUGCGACUUUCCCUUUCGUCGAAUUGGACGAGCGCUGUUUUUUAAUCCACUAAUUUGUUUGGUUUAUAUUGAUUUUCACUUUUCUUUGCACUUAUUGUUUUUUUAAAUAAUAACUUUACUAAACAAAAGGCUAAAUAUUUUGUUUUAAGAUCUCAGUUUUGUUGGAUGUUCUCUUUGAGAAUACGUCCAUCGGAUCGAUGUGAUUCUAUAAAUUAUUUUUAGAUUUUACUUUGGUCUCCUUAUUUUCUUUGUUCAAUUUUGUCAUUUAAGUUAUGAACGUUAUACUUUUUGAUCUCACAAGUUUUUUUUAAUCAUUUUGCUUCUUUAACUUAUAAAUUUCGGACCCUUUAGUCUUAAAAAUAACAAAAAUUUUACAUUUUGCUCGCUACAAGAAAUCUGGUAAUUUGCCAGGGGCAGAAGCCUUGGCAAAAUGCAGAAAGCCUUGGCAAAUGGACGUUUGCCAGGAGUUUUGUCAGGAGCAGAAUCACCAGCAAAUCUGCUCAUCGCAAAUGACCCUGCCAGGGAUUUAGCUCCUGGCAAAUGAGCUUCUGGCACAGGCCCUGGCUCAACCCCUGGCAAAUUGUGUUUGCAUGAUUGCAGGCUUUUCUGACGCAUUCUGGUCACAUCAGUCCUUUUCAAACCAUGCCAGGGAAAUUGCCAAGGAUUAACCGCUGGCAAAAUGUGUACAAAUAUUUAAAAAAAAUGUAUUUUAAAUGUUUAAAAAAUCAAAAUAUUAAAAUUUAAUAAUUAAAAUAAUUUAAAAAAAAACAUUUUAAAAUUAACUUCAACAAAUUAUACACAUUAACUUCAACAAAACAAAAACACAAACCUAAAUACAUAUUACAAAAUUACAAGAUAUAAAUAAUAGUAUAACAUCAUUUAUGAAUAAAACCAAAUUAUGGACAACGAAGACAUCAAACAUAGUCAAUUUUUUUAUAUAUGAUUGCAACAACACAAAUGUAUGGGGACUAUAGAACUCCAUUGGUAAAUAACAAAGUUGAUUUAUUAAUUGAAAUAGCUACAUAAAAAGAAAGAAAAUAUUAACUCAAAAUCAUUGCCUUUGGAUGUGUACCAAAUCUAGGGCUUCAACUCUUGAGUAGUAGAUGUCUGUAUCAGUCCAAGCUUGAGAAGUUAAAAAUGCGAAGAUACCUAAAUCAAAGACAAACAAAUGAGUCAAUUUAUAUGAAUAACAAAUAAAAGUUAUAAAUAUUGGGGGUGUUGCAUUCUCCACUCCAUUUAAAAACAUUAUGUCCUAAAAAUUGAAUUAUAGCUUAACUUAAAACAUUGUUUCUAAAAGGUUCAAGAGCAAAGGAACUCUAAAUCUCAAAACUAGAGUUUGAAAAUUUAAGAAUUACAACUUUGCAGUUCUUCUAACAAUAUGAUGAUACUUGAAUUUUCGUGACUCUGUUACUAACUACACCAAAGUUCCUCUCAAACUGAUGGUUCAUGGAUCCUUAGCUAAGUUCACAAAUGACUAUACUGGCAUCUAAAUGUUCCAAGUGUUUGAAGCAAAGAUAUGAAAGACAAUUACCUAUAACAAGUUUUGUUCUAAAUUCACAUUUCUCUACAUAGUCAACACUAAAAUCAAACAGAGUCAACACUAAAAUCAAAUGCUACUGAAAGAUUUCAAAGUAUGUGCUAUUUUAAUCCAUUUAACAGAAAUGCAGCCACUGUCCUAUAUCAAUCAAAUGCUACAGAAAUGCCACUGGGCUGAAAGCUCCAUCAGACCAGAUGCCCGGUCAGACCAUUUUAGACCAAACCAAAAUACACAAACAUGGCAUCCCAAACCAAAAUUGAUGGAAAAGUUCACAAAUCAGAGUAUAGGUGUGCCAAUUAACACAUAAAAGG